UCCAAAAAAGAUCUAUUUUUUUAUUAAGAACCAUACGAAAAGUAUCUAAAGAAUUGCACCUAAGUUUUGUCAUAUAUAUAUAUGAGGGGAUAUAUUUUGACUCCAAGAGUAAGUGUAAUAACUUACUCCAAAUCUUGACAUUUAAUUACAAUUUUGAUUGAUGACUUAGAUUAAUUGAUAUGGUAGGCUUUAAUUCUAUUUUCUAUUGUAGUCAACACUUAUCACCACAAAAUAAGAAAACAAUAAUUGUCAUUAAAUUGAUUGAUUUUUUUUUUUUUUUGCUCUUCUCCCAUUGCUUGUUAUGUUAUGUUGGAUUCACAUGUUGCUUUACUGUUAUGUUGAACUCCUAAACUUUUUCUCAAAUAACUUCAUCAUCUAUAUAUGUUCAUGACAACAAAAACUAAUUAAAAUGGAGAUGAUUAUUUUAAUUUGUCUUUAUUUAUAUAAGAAAAUACACCAAUUUAUUUAUUUUUUAUGCAAUUAUUGUAAAUGAAUUGGAUAUAAGAAAAGACGGGGUUACUUCCUCAAUCGAUUUUUUUUUUCAUGACAGAUUAGUACAAAAAUGUGUGUUUACAAAAAAUAUAAGAAAAGAUUAGGAUUAUAAUGAAGAAACCAAAUAAAAUAUGUCGUAUAAAAAAUAGUAAAGAGAGAAGAAUAAAUAUACAAUUCUUUAAAUUUUACAAUUGUUUUCUUUAAAAAAAAAAAUAUGCAUUUUUUUAGCGUAAAAAAAAAUAAAGGGUGAAGAAAAAAAAUUGUGGUCAAAUUACAAUUUGAUGCUUAUUUUACCAUUAACCCUAAAAAAUUCUUUUAACGUGAAAAAAAAAAAGCAAUGGGAGAAGAACAAAAAAAAAUCAAUAAAUAAAUGAGAAUUAUUGUUUUCUUAUUUUAUGGUGAUAAUUGUUGACUACAAUAGAAAAUGGAAUUAAAGCCUACCAUAUCAAUUAAUCUAAGCCAUUAAUUAAAAUUGCAAUUAAAGGUUAAGAUUUGGAGUAAGUUAUUACACUUACUCUUGGAGUCAAAAUAUCCUCCCUCUAUAUAUAUAUAUAUAUAUAUAUAUAUAUAUAUUAAUUAGGUUACAUUUUUAUUUAACAUUUAGUUAAAAGAAAUAUUAUUAUAAUAUAUGUUUCUUAAUUAAUUAGAUUUAACUUUUAAUAAAUAUUCAUUAAUUAAAUUGGGAUAAGAAAUAUUUUUAGUCUAUAUUUUUUUUUGUUCAUUAAUCCCAAAAUAAUUUGUAAAAGAAAAACUAUAAUCCCACAAAACUGUAUUAAAUUUAGUUUUUGUAUUUAAUAAAAAAAUAUGUAUUUUCUUAGUAUGUGUUUUUAGUCUAUAUUCGAUUUUAAAGAUGAGCACCAGCAACAUCAUGCAUAUGAGGGUAAUAAUAAUGCACAAGAAAAGGAGCAGGAGCAGAAUCAUGUAUCUGAAAGCUCUGUUGAAUUUGUAUCUUUACCAACAACCCAAAGUCCAUGACAACAUCCUCCUGGCUUGGUUUUGCAAAGAGUGAUUCUAAAAGAUAUAGAGAAAAUUUAGAAAGUUUGGGCAGCGCCUAAUGGAUCAUCUUCGACUCUGGAAACAGAUGGGGGGAGCAUCCUUUUUGUAUUGAAGAAGAUGCAAGUUCGAUUGGCGUGAGCUGAUGGGACUCACAAUACCCGUUCUAAAGGUCGCCUCCCUUCAUGUUCUCAAUGAAGUUCUUUUAUUGGAAUACUUGGGGGAUAAGCAACCCCGAUUUCAAGAUGGAUGACGAUUUUUUUUAUCAGGUUCAAUAUUGAUUUUGGAGAGAUAUUCGCAACAGACGGAACAAUAGUCUUCUAUUCUCCCACAUUUAUAACGAACGUAAUGUUUGUGCUAACAAAUUUGAUGACAUGGUCAUAGUUCUUUAAAAUUUACCUGGUGGAAAAUUUAUCGCCCUACUUUGUUUUUCUUUUGAGAUAAGGGUAUGCUCCUCCGUUUUUUGUAUACUUUUUCACCUUUUUAAUCUAUAUAUGAACUCUUGACAUAAGAUUAAAAACUACAAUGAAUGCCAACAUAUUUGAAAUAUCUUAUAUCUUUUUGAUGUCAUUAUUAUCCUAGUUUAGCAAUAAAAAAAUAGUCACGUAGAAUAUCUUGCAUAUAUUUGGCUCCAGAUCUUGUUGAGGUGUCUCUUUCCCCCAAAAUUUUAGUUAUGCUUUCUUUUAAUCUUUUUACCCUUUUACCCGCCUUAAAACUAAAAAAAUGCUUGAAUAAUUUGUUUUUACAUUUAUAAGAUAAAUUUUAAUUAAAAAAAUGAAAUUAUGAUAAACGUGAAAUAACAAGUAAAUAGAAUAAAAAUUGGUCAAAAGAACACUCUGUAUGGUCAAGGUCACUUUUAUGAUUCUGCAUCUAAUUGAAAGGUGCAUGGCUCAUGAUGAUAGAAUAGCCUUUUAAUUAUUUGAACUAAUGCUUUGUGUUGUUCCUGUCUCCUUCUCCACCGCUAACCCCUCGCACUGGCUACUCGGUUUGGCUCCUGCUUCCUUUAUUUUAUUAAUCUAUGUUUCAAAAAUAUUAAUUUUUUAAGAUCAAGUUUCUUAAAUUAAAAAUAUUAAUCUGAUUGAAUCGAAUCAAAUUAAUAAGUUGAAUAUACGAGAAAAGUGACGGAGAUGAUGCAUUAACUUCUUUUAUCUGCAGAAGUGACAAAAAUCACAUAAAAUAAAUAUUUUUUAAAAAAAAAAAUCGCAUAAAACAAACAUACAACUUUAAAAUUCUUUGUUCAAACUCGAAUGAAUAUGUUCAACUAACAAUAUCACUAUCAUUAGUUUUAUGGCAAGAAAAAAAUUAUAGACUAUUGUUAAUUGCUAUUUUUUAUUUUUUAUUUUGGAAAGAAAUAAACUAAUUAAUUCCAAAAGAUAUUUUUUUACUUGCUAUUUAUAAAUCCAGAAGAUAUUUGCUAUUUAUUUUUGUUAACCGUUAUUAAUUUUUUUGGCAACUUCAUAAUUACAAUAAUUAAUUCCUUUCUUAAAAAAAUAAUUAAUUCCCUAGAAAAAAUAACAAAAAUUAAUAUGAAAUUAAAAAAAGAUUUGGAGCCUUUUAGCCGAGCCACAAAAUGAAGCCAUUCAAAAUUCAAUAAUUUCAGAUUCCGAACGUGUGCACCGCACGCCCCCUUUGCUUCUAUUUAUAAUCAACCCCUCAUACCAACCUUCUUAUUUUCUCUCACUACUUCUCUCUCUCUCUCUCUCUCUCUCUCUCUCUCUCUCUCAUAGUCAUAACCUACAACAUUUUCUCUCUCUUCACCGUUAACCUCCGUCACAUGGCAGACACUCAGAGAAACAGAAACCGUCCCACCGCCGUCACCAACCACCGGCAGCCAAAUCGCCUCCAAAGCCGCGCUCCGUCGUCACUUCAAAUCAACCGCACCGUCGAAUGGAACGUUGCGAUUCCGCUUCUGUCGCCGGUGGCUUCGUCACCGCCGCCACCUCCGCAAGGGAAAAAGGAGGAGAUGAAACCGCAGCAGCAACGGCGGCAGAUCGGAGAACAGGAAAAGAUAGUUUUCAAAAAGUGGCAGCAUCCUGCACAACCGUUUUGCUAUGAACAUGCUUCGGUUGUUCCACCCUUCUGUUAAUUUAACAUGUAAAUUGAAAUUAAAGAAAAAAAUAAUAAUAAUUAGAAUGAUCUAACAUUUUUCUUUUUAAUUUGUAUACGUAUAAUCGAUAUUUAUAUUUGACACACUUUCAAUUUCACAUUUAUUUAUUUAUUCAUUUAUUUUUGUAGAACUCAAUUUAAUUUACUUAUAGAAAUGCAUCAAUUUUUCUCUUGAGCAGUGUGAGGGUUUGAAUUGUAAUUUAUUUAAAUAAUCUUAGAUAUUUCUUUGUCUGAUUUUUUUUUUUUUUUUUUGUGUGUGAUAGUAUGAUUAAUCGAGUGUAUAUGAUUAGGGUUAUGAACUAUUUUUCAUUUUCAAUUUACAGAAUUUUGUUAAAUGAUAUUUUUAUUGUUUAAACCAUAAUUUCAAAAAUCGAACCAAACCUGAUAGUUUAAAAUCGUAAAUGGACUCAUAUUUGAUUUUGUAUUUAUGCGAUUUAACUGCAUUUUUAUUCAUAUUAAGACUGGUUUGUGAAUUUUAGAUUUAAGACUAGUUGUAUAGAUUCAAUUUGGCAUCAACCUUAGAUUUAAGACGGGAAGCAUAGAAGAAGAGACCAUCUUUUUUGCACGUGUGUGUUGACAUCUUUACUGUGGUACUGAACAUUUAAUUUAAUUGGGUGGGAACAUGAAUGAUUUUGCACGUUACAAUUCUUUCCCUCUUUGAUUAUUUUUCUGUCUUCUUUGAAUGCCAAGUGAUCUGUUCGAUGAGGAUGGAUGAGAUGUAACAGUGGCGGAAAAUGUUUCGGUACGGUGAUGACGAGUCUUCACUAUGGAACGAAAGGUGUCUGAAGGCACGUUAGCACUUCAACGUUCAAGUCAAUAAAGGAAUUGAGAAAGAGUGAUCCUCGCGCCGAGGCGUGCUUGGAUGCGAUGCGGUGCACUAGAGUUGGCAUGUUCCUUCAGGCGCAAAGCCUUAACACAGUGCAAGUUUGGGCCACGUGUCAACGUGAGAUUGGUCUUCUGAUUGGUCCAGAACACCAAGCAUCAGAAAGGUUGAAUGCUUUCUUCCUAAAAAACUAAUGCAUAUAACCUAUAUUAUGAGUGAUUGGGAGAUGUGUAAUGGGGUAAUUUUUGACGCAUGAGAAGUUUUAGUUAUAGUUUGCAACGGUUUGAAAAAAUUGAAAGGCGCGUAAUGGAGUUAUUUUCUCCAAAAAAAAAAGAACGAUAGAGAAAGUGGUUGAUGAUAUUAAAGUCACACAUCUUAGAAGUGGGUUCUCGCUAGUAAGAAAGGGAUGCCUUGUUUAUAUUAUGCGUGACCUCCAAACCCUCUUUCGGUUUGUUUUUUUAGCUUCGUUUCAUAUUGUUUUCGAUGAGGUCGAGUACUCCUUAUACAUUUUCUAUUCUUGUUAAUAUAAUUCAUUUUACCGUUUAAAAAAAAAACUAUACUAUGAAUAUUAUAGAAUAAAUCUUUUUGUAUAUUUUCUGUUUUGAAGUGAGACAUCGUUCGUUCUCCCACCCUAAAUUUUUCUUGUAAAAAAUGUCAAUAUUAAUAAAGAAAUGCAUUGGUAUCAUUACGAUUAUACAAUUAAUAUUGAUUAAAGUAUGUAAUAAAAAAUGUAUAAAAUUAACAAUAUCUCAUCGAAUGUAAGAGUUAAAAAUUAUUGUUAUUCAAGAAUUCAAAUGCGUUCUUUGAAUGUGUAGUUGUAUAUAAUUGAAAUUUGUGGCAGUGAAGUUGACAGGUCUUGUGUCCAUUUGGAAUGGAAUUGAAAUCAUGUUUUGAUGGUGAAUUAUUUUUAAUUUGAGCUCUAUAAUAUGCUGUGAGUAUUGAGUGGUUGCAAAAUUUAUAGGACGUACCACUGAAUUAUUAUUAUUAUUAAUUUGAGCUCCAUAGUUGAGAGUGGUUGCAAAAUUAAUGUAGGACCACUAUAUGAAGAAAUCGAGUUUCGUUCCGUCACAUACUAUCCGAUUGAAAUCAAACAAUUCAUGGUUUAAAGUUUAUAUAUUGGGAAGAGGAAAAUAAAGUUAAAGUUGAAAAAUUAAUUUUUUAAAAAUCUAAAUAAGUUUUGUCCCUUGAUUUCAAUUGGACGAUCACAAGUUAUCUGAGACCGAGAGUAUGACUGCAUUAAAUCUAUAAUUAUUAGAUCAUUCAAAUUCAAUAUUGAACAUAUUAUCACAUAUAUCAUCCGAUCACAAUUAUAAACAAAUAUCAUUUUUUUAGAUUCAUGCAAUAAAUAGUGCAUGGUCUAUAAUAUAGAUUAUGUAUAUCUCUUAAUCAAUGAACCGUAAUUUUUGAGUAGCACUUGCAUCUGGCUUGUGCAUUAGCCAUUAACAUCCCAUGCGUUAGAUUUGGUCAAACAAGUCCCAUGUGGCAUAUGGUAUUCAGAACAAGACUGAUAGAUACAUGCAGAAAGGUGUCUAUCACACGUGUGAAAAGGACAAAAGGGGACAAUAACGUUAAUGGAGCCUAGCUAUCGGUAUUACUAGUUUCUAUCAUCGCCCUCAUAGGUCACAACGAUGGAUACCUUGAAUUUGAUAUUAUCAUUAUGAAAUAAUUUAAUUAUUAUUGUAGUAAUGUAAAAUUUGGUGCUUAGUCGACUAGAUAUAUGUGAUCAACUAAUUAUUUGAAGCUUGCUUGAUUUGUUGUUUGUUCAGCUGAUAAGAUGAUAUACAAGUUAACUUGUACCGUUCACAAUGAUUCUCUAUUUGAUCAACCGAUCAUACUGAGAAAUAAUAGAUAAUGUUUUUCAAGUGUAAGUUUCUAGACUACUCUAAAGAACGUUUAAUGUUAAAGGGUAAACUACAAUCUAAGAUUACAUGUAAAAUGAAGAAAAACAAUAAAGGAAAAUAAAAAAGAGACGUAAAGACUUGUUUGAUAAAAUGUGUGUUGAAUAAUAAUUUUUUCUAAACAAAGAGUGCAACUAGAUAUUGCUACUCAACAUAUUGAAGAAAAUGAAAUACAAAAAGAGAGGCGGGAAAAACCAAACCCUCUCAGAAUGAUGUAAACAAAAAAUUACGCAACCCUAGUUUGUUCUUGACAAAUUGCUCACGAAGUUCUAAGGGUACAUCAUUCCAAAAAGUAUAAUUUUGAAGGGAUAGUCUCAAUUUGCUAGACUAUCUACACAUUGACUACCUUCUAUAAAAAUAUGAGAUACAAAAAAGUUCAUGUGUCGAAUAGUUACUCCACCUUUUUCUUAGCCUCCAAUACACUAAAGGCGUUGAAGAAAAAGCUAAAACGACUAACUUUGAGUAUGUUUCCAUCCAUAGAUUGAACAAAUUUCUGUGAUAGGCUUGCUUCAUAGCUGUCGUGGCACCAACAAGUACAGGCUGGUAAGCAAAUGAGCCUAAACGAUGGAAUUUUAAAUUUCGACGGGGUAGAGUCAUGUAAGAAGUCUCUUUUACGGAUAUCUUGUUCCUUGCUUUUUUCAGAGAAAUCCGAUCAAUUAGCAUGAAAACAUGAUUUUCGACAGGGACACUGGGGGAGAAGAGAAGCUAACAAUGCACUAAAACACAAGGAUGGGUGUUAGAAUGGUUAGUAUGAUUUUUAAACUGAUUAUUCAUGUCAAAAACAGGUUCAAUCGUUAUUAUGAUACAAUUUGGAUUGUAUAAUCCAAUAUAUUUUCCAUGAAUUCUUGGCAUAAGAGGGUGUAUAGGGGGUUUCUGGAUUUUAUUAUGAUAUGAAGCAAGAAGCAUUUUUAGAUUUUAUAAUCCAAAAUCCCCCUAUACAUGCUUUGAAGUAUGGUGUAUAUGGAGUGUUUGGAUUAUAAAAUCUAAAGCACUUAUGUUUUUGGAUUUUACAAUCUGAAUUGGUGAAAAAUGCAAUCUUUCACCCAAAAAAUAGAGGAAAAACCCGAAUAUCACAAAAGACCAUUUUGAAGGGAAAAAAAGACAUGUGAGAAGAGCAUAAGAUGAAAAAAGUAAUAAUCAUAUAUAUUAAAGUCGAGAGCUUGGACAAAAUUAUGUUGGGUUCAAUGUAGUUGUCCCAUAUGAACUAUGAAUGAUAUAAUUGUUGAGUUGAGAUGUAGUGUCUCUCUUGCACAUAUAUAAACAUAUAUAAUUAGGGUAAAAGAGUGUAAAAUCUUGCAUUACGUGAAAAUAUCAAUUGUGACUAGUCAUAAUAUUUAGAAUCAAAUAGUUAAUUGAGAAUCCAAGUAUUAAAACAAAUUGUUUUUCAUAUGUCUAAAUUUUUAUUUUUUUUGUCAAGUAGCCUAGUGGUUAGAGCUCACACAAUUUAAUUGUGGAGAAGUGGAGUGUACGGGGUUCGAACACAGGCUCCUGCAUAUAAUAUGCAAUAUCCCUACCAAUUGAGCUAAGCUCACGGGGAUUCAUAUGUCUAAAUUUAAUGGUGACUCAUUUGAUCUAAUUGAGAAUCCAAAUAUUAACACAAAUCGUUUUUCAUAUAUCUAAAUUUAAUUAAUAUAGUCACUCAUGCGAUCUUAUCCAAUUCAAGUGAUUAAUCUUUGUGGUUGCGCAUAAUACCUCAUUCACCCAAACAAAUUUAUUUAGCAUGGCUACUGCCAACGCUUCAAAUGACCAUCAACAUCUUUUCCUACAACAUCAUACUUCUUUGAACUUUUCAAAAAAACAAAAAAAAAAACUAUAUGUCACUACCAUUUCGCUAUCAUUGCAGCUACCAUCACAAUCAACACUAUAUCAGUGUGUUUUUGCUACAAUUAUUAUCGUUCUUAUGACUAUACUAUUGACGUUGCCAUAACCACUACGACAACAAAUAAAGUAUAUGUAUCAAGGAAAGUGGAAAAAUAAGAAUAGAAGAUUAAAAAUUAAAAGCAGUCCUCUAAGUUGCUGUACAGUCAAAGACAAUAUCUUGUAGCACUAACUUUUCAAGACAUGAUGGUGUAGAGAUUGAUCCCAUUUGAAUGGUUAAACUGAAAGAUCCGAAAAGAAAUUAAAGUAUACUGAAGGAAUAUUUCAUUGCUCUUUUUUCUUAUCGUUUGCCCAUUUUAUGUGCAAGCAAGCUAUAUUCUUUAUUAUAUACAUCAAAUGAAACUAGUAAUUUUUUGAUGAGCAAUCGGCUCUUUGAUGUGAAAUCCGCAAGCAAACGGUUCUAUCGAAGUAGUAAAAUAUCGUUCCAUAAGUUGUUGUAAUUACCGAUUUCCUUUCUAAUUAUGAUUAGCUAAAAGGUUUAAAGUUUAGAAGUUUAACGAAGUGAUUGAUAUAAAAUUCAGAUAAUAAAAAGCGUCUCAGAGAUUAUUGGUUCAUCCUAAUGACAAAUUACUCACAAUCCAAACAUAUAUUUUCCUCUUAAAUUAAAUCCGUUUAUAAAGACAAGUUUCUCUAACGUAUUUCCUGGUUCCUUUCAGAAUCCAUGAGUGUGUUUCAAUAACAAUCACACCUAUUCUCAUGGGCGAAACUUAUUGCCUCAAUACUUCACAAAACUAUUUAUUUGGGAUGUUCCCAUCAAGUUCUGUGUCGUCUUGUCUAAUUUCAUUUGUUCCAAAAUCAAACUUCAUCUUUCGAUCAUUCGUUUGAUAUUUGAGAUGAUGAAAUAACAAUUAUUAAACUUCACCUUUCGGUCCUUCGUUUAAUACUUGUUAUUGAGUUUGAAAACAAUGAAAUUAGAUUAGAAAAUAGAUUUAAAUAAGAUUAGGGUUCUAGGCUUGAUUUGAUAUGAAUUAAGUUAUUAGACUCAUCCAACAAUCCAAAGACAAAGAGAUCUAUUCACUCAUGUUCAUCGUAGACAAAGAGGUUAAGGCGACGGAAUAGAAAGACAUUAAAGUAGAUGGCUGAAUGUAAAGUUGCAAAAUUGUAAAGAGCAAGGAAUUAAAGAACAAGAAAAUAAAGCUUUGAUCAAUUUGAUUCAAUGGAAAACAACAGUCACAAAUAUUCCAAGUUUCAAAGAUGAUUUACAAGUCUGAUUGCUCUCUCUCUAUAUAGCAAAAGCCAGCCUCUAGAAAAGGAAAUAGUUCCACAUUAUAAGGCACUAAAAUCGGUCAUAAAAAUAGCUCAAACCAGAACAUAAUUUUGCAGUAAAUCAGCACAGAAAUAUGCACCAAAUCAUCACAUAAAUAUGCACCAAAUCAGCACAUAAAUAUGCAUCAAAUCAGCACAUAGAUAUGCAUCUUAAUCCAUUCUUUUGCUCAAACAUCAUUUGUGAUCUUGAAAAUAAAACGAACAAAUUGCAGUAAAAUAGUUCUAAAAAGAAAUUUAAACAAACAUAGUUCUAUUAAAAUAAACACUUAAAAACCAUCUAAAUUACGACUUAUCACUAUUGCGUAUAAAAAAAAUUGAGAAUGAACUCAUCUUGUACGUGAGUUACAUAGGUUUUUUGACCGAUAUUAGUCUCACUAGUAAGUGGCGACAAAAAUUUCAUACCAAUAAAAUGGUAAUAAAAAAAAUGUUUUUCUUUUUACAUAAAAAAAAGAGUGGUUUUAAUUGUUUACACUCAUUUGAGGUUAAUAAAAUGUAUUACAUUUUGAAGAAUGAACAGUCUUACAUAUUAUAAACUAUUUUUAUGCUUAUGUUAAAAGAAUUGUAUAUUUUGUACAAGUUAAAAAAAAUUAUAUUUAAGGAACCUAUUAUAGUUUUUUUUGCCAACACUACAAAAAGUUUUGGAAUUGUUAGAAUUGGUAUGUGUUUCUAAUACUUCUCCUUUUUGUUGUCGAUCAGGAGCAGGUUACUUUCCAUGGCACAUGUGUGGAUGGAACAAUUGACUUCAAACUUAGGAACAUCACAUAUGAUAAGAUAUAAUAAUGAGAUGGGACCAGAGAUAAAUACCAAUUACCAACCAAAACAACAACAAGAAGUUUGAAAUUAAAGGGAGAAAAUUCCAAAUGAAAUCAACAAAUUAUGGAUGAGUGAAGUCUAAUAUUCGGCGUAAUUCAAAGAUCAUAUUAUUCUGCAAUCUUUAAUAUUGUUGUCACUUUUAGACUAGCACAAUAAGCUAAUAUUAAACGGUUCAAAAUGUUUGAUUAGUGUUUCUUUAAUCAAAUGUUGGAUGUGACUGGAUUCUAACCUUUGCAAAUUUGUACAUAUCCGAAAGCAAGCUGUGGAAAGCGAUCUUUAAUUAAACUAAUAUAGUUAGAAGUGUUCAAAACCAAACUAACUCAAUAGAAAAACUGCAAACUAAACAAUCCAAAUCGAAACUGCAAAAAACUGCACUUGGUUCGUAUGAAUUCGGAUGGCUUUUGCACUGAACAGCGCAGUUCGGUUUAGUAUGCGGUUUGCAUCUCAGCAACCAAACCAAACCAAACCAAACCGCAAGAAUAGUGAAUAUUACUUAAACAUGUAAUAGCCCAAUUACAUAGCCCAAGAAUAAUCUCUUUUGAUUCGAAUUUUUCAUUGUUGCACCAUCAGGUUCGAUUCUAAUUCCUUUCCAUCUCUUUCAAUUCAUUUCCAGGGAUCAAUUUGUUUCCUUUUCUUCCAAAUAAUUUGUUUCAUGCUUAUGUUUCUUUUUCUUAAUUUUACCUAUUAUGAUAUAAGUUUUAUCUAAUAUUUUAUCAUAUAAACAACAAAGUAAAAUGUCCUAUGUUUAUUUUGUAACAAGUUGACAAUAUUAGAGUUAAUGUCAUAUUUUUUUUAUCUUGCGAUAAACCGCACAAACCGAACCAAUUCAAGCCGCAUUGGUUUGGUUUGGUUUGGUUUGAAUGACUUUUUAAAAAUCAACCGAACCAAACCAAACGGCAUGCUUUUUUAUCUCGCAGUUUGGAUGACUUUUAUGCUCAAAACCGAACCAAACCGCACCGCGAACACCCCUAAAUAUAGUUAUAUAGUUUUUUAUUGAAAGAAUAUAUAGUUAUAGUUAUACAGUUGAAAUCAAUUAAUUGAGUUCAAGCGAUUAAUGAGUACCAUUAAAAGACGAAUUGUUUACCAAAAUCUGAGUUUGAUUUAUAAAUUAAACAAUUCUUCUUAACCAGAUUUUAGUUACCUCUCAUACGAACGUUUCAUAAAAAAAAAAUAUCCACGGCAGAUUAUAAAAGAAAAAAAAUUCAACUGUGAGCAAUCCUUGUACAAAUUAAACUUGUAUGCAUGGCGUGUUAAUUGUGAAACUUGAGUUUGAUUCAAGAAUAAACAAUUCUUUUUAAGCAGACUUUAUUUACCUCUCGAUCGAACUUCGGAUUACUAUGACCCCUUUUCAUAAUAACAAGAGGUUUAACAAACAAACAAAAGAAUCCCACUGCAUGAGUAAAAAAAAAAGGAUUCAUCUGCAAGCAAUCCUAGUCUAAACUAAACUUGUAUGUAUGGCGUGUAAAUUGUGUCGCUUUGUCCAACACUAGUGUGUUAACCCAUGCCAUGCACCGGUGAUGAGCUAUUAUUUUUUGGUCUCUAAAAAUAUAUUAUUAUUAUUAUUAUUAUUAUUAUUAUUAUUUUUGAAGAAGUUAAACUAACUAUCCCAAGCCUAUACCACUAGGCCAAGCGAAGUGGGUUUAUUUAUUAUUAUUAUCAUCAAGACGAUAGUCUUUCAAAUAUUUUAUGCUCCAUAUUGCUGCGAGUACACCCCCCUCAUAGAAGGAUGGUGUGAAAAGUGUUGUUAGUACAAUGUAUGAUUGGGCCUCUUUAUUGGGCCUUGGAUUGCAAGUAUACACUUUUGAGUAUUCCAGAAUAGGAAACUUGUUGUUCUGACAUACAAUACUUCUUAAUAACACAUGAAAAUUCCUUAAAUGCCCCCAACGAUAAUUAACUACCGUUGAGCAUUCUGGAAGCAGUUAACUGCUGCUGGUGUCAACGGUAGUUAACUGCCGCUCAUCUGUUAUAAAAACGGAACAGACAUAGGAGUUUCCAAAACUCCAUUGUUGCGGAUUGAAGUUCAAGAGGUGCCAAAUUUCCCAAUUGUUGCGGAUUCAACGUCAAUUACGCUCACAAAAUCAUGUAAGUUGUUACCAUCCUAUUACAUUGCUAUUUUGUGAUUGAUUUGUUAGUUUUUUUUGGUUAAAUUCUCACAUAAUUUGGUUUUGUUGAUUUUAUGAUUAGAUGUUAGAUUAGAGUUGAAUAUAAUAUUGUUGUAUAAUUGUUAGGUUUAGAUAUUGAUUUUAUGAUAGUUUAGGUUUAGGUAAGAAUUGUUAGAAUUGAUUAGGUUUAGGUUUAAGUUUUGAUGAUAGUUGAUGGCAUUGUUGUUUAGUUUAGGAUUUGAUCAUCAAUUUCUUUAUGUAGAUAUGUCUCAGAAUCAUGUUCAGUUGAACAAAAAGGAGGGUGAUGACAAGAAGAAAGCAAAAUCGUUUAUGACAUGGCAAAGAAUCGAAUGUGAUGGUUCCGUAAAAAAGAAGGAUUUGAAGGUGCCGGUGUACAAUUAUUCUAGGCUGAGGAGGAGUGGGAGGACAUGCUAUUUUGAUCCUCAACCAAAAGCAGGUGCCCCAAGGACUGUCGAGGACAACCCAAUUGAGUUCAGUGACGAGGAAGAUAAUUGAAUGUAACGGCUUGUAAUGCCUAAUUGUUUUGGAUCUUUUUUUUAUGUUUUUUAUAUGUCGCGCACAUUUUGCUACAUUUUCCUUGACAUUAUGGUGCUUUGAAUAAAAACGUGUUUUGAAUAAUUUCGAUUAAAGUCGCAUUUUGAAUAAUUGCAUGUUCGAAUAAAGACUAAUUAAAUCUAACGUGAAUUCGAAUAAUUAAAAUUGCGUAAUGAAUAAAUAAAUUCGAAAAGUGAAUAAAUUAAUUAUUGUUCCAUUCAAAAUAACAUGUAUUAUACAAAAUCAACUAUAUAUGUUAUCACAUCAAAUUCCCUCAUAUAAGAUGGGCCAUCACAUAAAGAAUGAGGUGCAUUCUGUGGCACUCAUCUUAUAUCAAGGAAUUCGAUAUCAUAAUUUAUAUAGCUGAUUCUCAAUAAUACAUGUUCCUAAAAAUAGUCUAUCAUUACAUUACAUUACAUUCGGGUUACACCUUUAAACUACAACAAUUGUCUUACUUCUAAAAUGGUAAAUUCAAACUGGCUAAACACCAGGACUCAAACAUUCACCCGAAAGUUUUAUUAUUCUAUUCAAAAGAUUAAAUUCUUGUUAGGCUUGGUUUAAAUGAUGAUAUUCAAGUGUCAAAAGAAUGAGGUGCAUUCCUUGACACUUCAAUACCUUCAUCUAAACUAGCCUAAAAUGAAUUUAAUCUUUUGAAUGGAACAAUAGAACUGCUGGGUGAAAAGUUUGGGAACUGGUGUUUAACAAGUUUGAAUUUCCAUUUCAGGGUAAGACAAUUGUUGUAGUUGGAAGAUGCAUUCCAUACCUAAUCACGAUCUUCUAGCGAAAUCAGACUAUUGAUAAUAUCUUCAGUUGAUCUCAGCAACGUUACACGCAUAUCAAUCCAUUAGAGCAUGCUCUGCUCCCAUAAUAUGCUCAUCACAUUUUCGUCGUUCGUUAAUUCCACCCAACUUAAUGAUAUUCUCUCCUCAUCGAGCGUUGUACGUUUAUAUCGAACGUAUUCCAUCCUCCUUGUGUCUCCGGAGUUGACUCCUUGGUUGAAUUCAUUUAAUUGAUCCUUGAGAUCUCUUAACGUUACACCAAGGCACCGAACAUAUCGGUCAUUGCUUCAAAUCUACACAAUAAGAAAUUAAAAACAAUCAAUGAAAAACUCAGUCAAACAUUUCAUCAAACACUUGGAGUGCAAAUUAUACAUAAACCCUAAAAAAUUUAUAAAACUUGAAAAAAAUAUAUAAAUUUAAGCAAUAUAACUUCAUUACAACAAAUAUUCAUAAUAUUUGUUAAUAACAUUUCAGAUCUAUGACAUAACUCUAUUAAAAUAAAUAAAUCAAAAAUUAAAAAUUAAACUACAAGUAAAAUUAUAAAAAUAUAUACUAACUAAAAAUUAUAACAAUAGCCUAAGUGAUUACUUACUUGUGAUUUAGUGAAAUUUUUUUUUUGGAUAAUUUGGUAGAGUUUUUUUAGAGAGAGAGUGAAAGAAAAUUGAAAUUUUGAGAGAGAAUGAGUGAUGAAAGAGUGUCUCAAAGCUGGGUUCUGACUUAAAUAUGUAACUGCUGCCGGAAUGCUCAACAGUAGUAAAUUACCGCUGAGGGCAUUUAAGGGAUGUCCAUGUGUUAUUAGGAAGUAUUGUAUGUUAGAACAUCAAUUUUUCAAGAAUAGAGAAAAAAAAUUAUUUGAACUAAACUUUUGUCCCUAUAAAUGUAUUAUAUUUCGUGUUUAGUUUUUUUUUUUUUUUUUUUUUGAGGCCGGGGUUUGAAUCCUAGACCUUGCAUAUAUUAUGCAUUGUUCCUACCAACCGAGCUAAACUCACGAGUACAGUGUUUAGUUCCUUUAUAACAAAGAAGAACAUAUUUGCGUAUGGAAAAUCUUAAAGGACAAAAAACAAAAAAUGGUAUAUUAUCUCUUACCCAACACUUGCCGCUGCUCCUCAUAUGUUUGUCAAUGCCUACAAGAACGUUCUUGCUUUUGCCGUUGCUACCGAAUAUUCUUUCCCUGAGGCAGACAAGGUUAAGGAGUACCUGAAGGUAUUGACUUCAACAUAUUAAUGAUCUGAUACUAAAACAGUAACCCAAUAUUUCCCAUUUUUCUUAUUGGUUGAUUUUGUUCAAUGCAGGACCCAAGUAAAUUUGCUGUAGCUGUUGCUGCCCCAGCUGCUGCUGCAUCUGGCGGUGCCCCUGCUGCCGCUGCCAAGGAGGAGGCUAAGAAGGAAGAGCCUGAAGAAGAGUCUGAUGAAGACAUUGGUUUCGGUCUAUUUGGUGAUGAUUAGAUUCUUUAGUUUUGCUAUUAGUGGAGUUAAAUUUUGCUUUAUUAGAUUUCAUGAGAUCAUACUUGGUUCAUUCUCAGAGUACACUGCUGUUUUUCCAUUCCAUGUUAUAUUUCGACUUUAUCAAAAAAAAUAGAAAUAAAAAAAAAUUGAAUACCACUGUGCUCUCUCUCUCUAUAUAUAUAUAUAUAUAUAUAUAUAUUUUGUUUAGUGAGUCAUCGCCUAUAACUCUAGUCUCUUCUCCUUAAUCCAUAAAAAAUGAAUGAUUAUUAACCCAAAAUCACCCAUCUAAAUAGUUGAGAGAGAGAGACAGAGAUUUAUACGAGUUUCUCUCACAAACCGAGUAGUCUAGUCCCCUUGGACUUCCAAGAGAUUUUCAUUAUAAUCACUAAAGAAUACAAAUGUUCAAGCACACAAGCAAGAUACUUCAAAUGCUCAAUCACACGAGAAAAAGACUUCCAAUGCUCAAGCACAAAAACAAGAAACUUCUACAAUCUAACUUAAUCAAAUAAAAAAUUAUUUGUGUUUUACACUUGAUAUACAAUCAGAGGUGUAAUCAAAUACAAAAUAGAGUUGAACUUGAUGUUAAAAUUUCUAAGAUAUAAAGUUUGUAUGAAAUUCUAAGUCCUACCUAACCCCUAUAUAUACCCAGGUUUUAGCAUUGAGACAUGUAUGACACUUCUUACCCACAACUCGCGACCUCUCCUCUUGAACCCCGCACUAACUUUGGCGUUGGAGCAAGUGCAGGUGCACAACCCCCCUCCGACUCACCGAGGGCUGACGAUCAAUACCAGCAAAGUCAUCUUCUCACUGCAGCUCAACAGAACCAGUGUGACGGACAGACUGGCGGAUCAACCCAUGCAGGUGGCAGAUCCAAGCAGCUCAACCAUCUUAUUUGGUCCAACUGGAUCAGUAUGUUUGAAUACAAGACAAGUAUUUUCUAGUUAUCGGAACAAUAUUCCAAUCAAGUAAUGAACUUGAGUUUCAUGAUCUUAAUAAGCUCAUCUACAACAGAUGAUAAGAUGAGAUUUGACUCUAAUGUAUGUCAUUAGCAUUAUUGUUUAGAACAAACAAGUGUGAUUCACAUUUCUUGAGUCCAUCUCUAUGGACUAUUGGGCUUAUUUGAUUCACACACUAAAGACCAAAUAAACAGCUUACUAAUCGUGUCAUGGCAAAGAAACCACCACUCGAUAAAAACUUUAUUUCCCCUUCUUUGUUUGAUCAUUGAUGCGCAAGCCAUUUCAUGUUUUUGUGGUUAGAACUGUGAAUAUUACUCUAAGAAUUCAUCAAAAUUAAAAUCCAACAAAAUUAGGAUUUUGUGGUUUUAUAACUUAACGACAAAAAUUAACACGCGUAUUAGGAUAAAUUUAGAUUUUGAAUCAAAACAAUGCUAAUGUGAAGGAAGAAGUUCAUGUUUGGUGGAUGGUUGAUUCAAGAUAAAACUCCAUAAAUAUGUAAAGUGUGAAAAAAAUUUGAACAAAUCCAAGUAAAAUUAAAAAAUCCAGAUAAAAACAGUAACGACUAUAAAGAAAUUAUGUAGAAAGAUUGAAGAAAUUAUGUAGAGAGAUUGUAGAAAGAUUUAUUCACUGACAUUUUUUUUGUGGUGGUCGGGAUUCGAACCCCAAACAUUUGAUUUAACAUAAUAGAUUUUCAUUGAAGAAUGGAAUCAUAUACGAUAAUCGAAAUUGAACUAAACAAAUUACUCAAAUUUUGUCUUAAUUGUUUUCAAUCACAAUUUAGAGUUUAAAAUGUUUUCAAUUGCAAGAGUAAACAAAAUGCUUAAAUAAACAUGUAAAUAUAGUUGACUCGAAUUUAUUAACUUUAUUUUCAUAUGUUGUUACAUUUAAUCUAGAAUAACUUGUAAUUUUUUUUCUUCUUCUAGGGAGGGCAAGCACAUAUGAAUUUAGGAAUGAAGCCUCCCCUUGGUUGGCAAAAUCCGACACCGUCGAAUUUAUCAUAGCACAAUUUUUGAAACACUGCAAUGAUGCAAUUAUCACCUUUUAUGUAGGUCAAACAUCCAUUUGUCGUAGCUAUAACUGUAAAAAUAAAAAGCAUAAUUUUCAUAAAAAAAAAACUAUGAAAAACAAAGUGUAAUCAUAUAAAUUAGAUAUUACUAAACUAUAUACAAAAUGAAAUAUUAAUUUAGAAAAAAUAGCAGAGUUUAGUUAUUGAUGUUAUUUGUUUUGUGUAGUAGUUCACGUGAAUGAACCGCAAACCCUACAAACGAAAAAGCAAGGUUAUGACUCCUACAAGAACAUAUAAAUGUUUAAAGCCAAAUAAAAUAACAUCAAAAUGGUCGAGAGAUAAUGACCCAUAUAUCAAACUCUAAAGUCAUUGUUAUUUUAAAAACUUAUAGUAUAUUUUAGAAAUAACAUCAAUAACAUCACGUGAACUUAGAUCCCAAAUAAUAUAACAUCAAUAUCAACAAUAUUUGCUAGAAAAAAGAAUAUGAAUACUUUGUAUAGAAUUCAAUGUGAAAUAAUGUAAUCAUUUCAAAUAGGUCAAUUAUAUAUAUUAUAAUUAUAUAUUAGCAGCACACUUAUAGAUACUACGAAGUUUGAUAUAAAAAUUAGUAUACCUGUAAAAAUUAAAGCAAGGAUGAUAAUUGGCAUGAAGGAAAAUUUAGCCAUUUUAAAUAGCUUCAAUAUAAUCUAGUAAAAAAAAAUAGCUUCAAUAUAACAAACAGUUAUAAGAUGUAUUGUUGCUCCCUUCAAAAAAAGAUGUAUUGUUGCUAGAACAAAAGCAAGGGUUUAUAUAGGAACAACCAAUAUCAAAUAAUUAAUAAACAAAAGGAUAAAUUGUUGGUCAAAAAAGUAAAGAGUAAAUUACACUCCCCUCCCCUCAAAGAUGCUUGAAUUACACUCCCCUCCCCUCUUAUGUUAAAAUAUACACUCCCCUCCCUUGAAAAGUAAAUUUGAUACUCCCCUCCCUUAUGAGAUGCUUGAAUUUCAAACUUCUCCCUUAAUAAUUAAAUAUACACUACACUUUAAUUUAUUUUAAUAUAAAUAAAUAUUUUUAUAAUAUAUACUAAUUUUGAAUCACAAUUUAAAAAACAUAAAUCCAUUUUUUUAUAAUUUAAAUGUCAAUUAUAAUUAAAUUUAUAAUUUGGAGUAUAAAAUUCACAUUUAAAUAAGAAUUACUUAAUUGACUUUAGUUUUUUUUCACAUAUUUUAAUUUUAUUUUGAGUUGUUUCAUAUUUUAUAAUAGGGUUUAAAACUACAAGUUAAUGAAAUUGUGAAUAAAAAAUAGCGAAAAAAAUGUAUUCAAAUUUUGAUUAUAUUUAAAUGAACCUCUAAUACUAUUUUUUUCAAAGUGUGUUAAACUAUUUUUUUUGCUAGAUUAUUAGAAGUAAAAAAAAAAAUAUUGAGGGAGUAAAGAGUAGAUUUUAACAUAAGAGGGGAGGGGAAUGUAAUUCAAGCUUCUCUCAAGGGAGGGGAGUGAAAUAUUUUUUAAAAUGUUUUGAAUAAGAGGGGAGGAAAGUGUAUAUUUUAACAUAAGAGGGGAGGGAAGUGUAAUUCAAGCAUCUUUGAGGGAGAGGAGUGUAAUUUACUCAAAAUUAAAGCAUAAAUUAAUACAUAAUUUAGGAAAGUCAACUACUUUAAUAUGGUCAAAUUCUCCAAAUUUUCGAAAUUUAUAUCGUCAAAUCAACUAGUACAUUUUUUUUGGUUACAAAAUCAACGUACUUUAUUUUUGUCACAAGUUAUUUUAUAGCAUUAUAGUAGCGUUAGCGGGUUUAAAACCAAACCAAUCCAAUAAAAAAACAGUAAAUCGAACCAACUCAAAUUAAAAUCGCAAAAAACCACAUUUAGUUAGGAUGUAUUCGGAUCAUUAUUUUCCUCAACCGCAUGAUUUGGUUUGGUUUGCGGUUUUUAUUUUACCAACCAAACCGCACCAUAAAAAAACACUAAUUAAACAUAUGCAAUGUAGACCAAUACUCGUAGAAAGUCAAUGAAAACUUUUGUAAAAUGACAUAUUUUUUUCUAAGUUUUUUCUUUGGUUUUUAUUUCAAAAAUGUAUUUACGGGAUACUUGAAACUUUAGUAAAUGAUAAAAUCAUAGCCUUUUUUUUUUGCAUUUCUUACGAAAUGAAAUUACUUUUUGACCAUGCUUUUAAUUUGGUCUAUGUAUUUAAAAACAUUGUUAGAUGAAAAUAAAAUUGUAAUGUCAGAUAAAACUUAAAAUAUUGUUGGAAACAUUGCUUGAAAUAUGUUGUGUUUUAGGUUUUUAACUUGGCUUUAGCGUUGGAAACAAAAAAAAUUGUAUUGUCUCGAAAAAAACCGCAUCAACAGAUCCAACCCAAACUGCAUUGGUUUGGUUCGGAUUUUAUUUUAAAAGUGAACCAAACCAAAUCAAACCGCAUGUUUUUUUAUCUUGCGGUUUAGAUGACUUUUACCUUCAAAAUCGAACCAAAUAAAUUGGAAACACCCCAAAGUGACAUCGUAAAAUUUAUGAUAUUACUGAAUGUAAGAAAUUUAACUUAUAUGCAUGAUUUUCUAAAUAAAAAAUUGAUACGAAUAAUUAUUAAAGUUAUUGAUGAAUAAUUAUUUUAAAGUUAUUGAUUAAAUUUACCAACGACUGUUUUGUCAAAAAAUAAAUAAAUACCAACGACUGCAUAACAACUAUCAUUUAACGAUAUGUGUCAUGCAUGCAAAACUUUAAUUAGUUUAUUCUAUUUUAUUAUUAAGUAAAGAUUCACUCUUUAUACAAAGAAGUUCAUUUUAGUUCGGUAUAAUAGUCCAAUACAUACAUAUUUGUCCACAUAGGAUAACAUGUCUUACUGUUUUAUUUGAGCGAUCAAUUUAUGUAACUCAUUCAUUUCUUAUUCCAUCUUCGACUUUUCUUUGUUCUUUUUCUACAUUUCAAUGUUCUUGUUGUUGCAAAAAUAUGAGUUAUUUGUCCAUUUUUGUUUUUUCAUAUGCUCUUCUUCGACCGGAAACAAAGACUUGAGUCAUUAAACCUAUCAAUUAAGAACCUUUUAAGAGUCCAACUUGUACUCUAGAUAUUCUCAUAUGCUCUUCUUGAAUUAUAUUCUCAUGAAUUAGCUUCUUUACUUGCACCCGUUCACGAAGAUGUGGGAACCCUUGCUUAUUUUUCACUACAUUCAGGCAGCGAUGAAGUGACCCUUGUUCAUUUGACAUUGUACUCUAGAUAUACAGCGCGUUGCUUCAGGGCAAUGAUCUAACAUUCACACUAUUUCGUAUUUGAUUCAUCUCAUGGAGAUUCAACUAAGUUUUUGUUGGUUGUCGAGGUCUAACACAACCAUCUCCUUUUACCAGAGCUUGGGACCGACCUUGGCAGGAUUAUAUGCAAAAUUUGAAUAAUUGUUUUCAAAUCAACGAACAUGUCAGAUAGAAAACAUUUAGGCUACUCUUUGAAGGGUAACAUGCAUUCGAGGCAAGGGUGAGAUUCAAAUUGACUUAUAUACUCCAAGAAUAUUCUCAAGAUUUAUCGAAUAAGCGCUCGAGAUAGGCCAUUUGUAUGUGUAUUUAAAGAUUCAAAAUCACUCCCAUUCUAAAGUUGGUUACAGUUGAUGUCAUUAUUUCGUAGAAAUCAUCAAAUGUCAUAAUUCAUUAUUUCGUAGAAAUCAUGCAUGCAAAACUUGAGUUAAUUUAUUUUAAUUUUUUUAUAAAGUAAAGAUUCACUCUUCCCACAAAAUGCUUCAUUUUCGUUCGGUAUAUAGUCCACUACAUACAUGUUCGUCCACAUAGGAUAACAUGUCUUACUAUUUUAUUCGAACGAUCAAUUUAUGUAGCUCAUUAAUUUCUUAUUCCAUCUUACUUCAACUUUUCUUUGCACUUUUUCUACAUUUCAAUGUUCUUGUUAUUGCAAUAAUAUGAGUUAUAUGUCCAUUUUUGUCAGUUCAUAUGCUCUUCUUCAACUACAAAGAAAGACUUGAGACAUUAAACCUAUCAAUUAAGAACCUUUUAAGAGUUCAACUUAAGUCCUAAAUUGACCUUAAAAUUUAUUUGUCAGAGACUUAUUUUUUGUGUCAACACUACUCAAUGAAAAACAUUCUUCCUUCUUCGAGUUGAUUAACGAUUUAACGUCUACUAACUAAUUAGGUAACAACCCAUUUGGGGUUGGUUUGGGAUCUUGGAGUGAGCUCCUUGCAAGGUCUCAGGUUUGAUUCCCUCUGGUGCCAAUUUUGGUGGGCAAGUCCAUACAGAGCUUUGCGCUGGCUUAGAACGGGGCCCUGUAAGUGGGUGGUGGGAUUGGUCCCCUCAAAUUAGUCGAUACUUGUAUCGGAUACCGAAUUUUUAGAAAAAUAUAAAAUUAAUAUUGAUUAGUUAACAAUCGAGAUUAGGUGCUUUCAUCAUCCUUAGAAAAAAUGGAAACAACAAAGAGAAGUUGAACAUGAUUUAGCUGUUUUAAAUCAAUAGCAUAACCUCUUUUUAUCUGUUUAUUGAAAGUAACACAAACAAGAAAAGCACAAUGAUUUGAAACAAAAACAAAGGAAAAUCAAAUAUACUGUAUGUGAUAAGUUCGAUAAAUCAGGCUCACUUUCUUGACAAAAACAACUUUGUUGGAACAUUUGUCCAAAUGAUUAGAGGAACAUGGGACCCAUUCAUGGUCCUCAUCUUUUUGGAUUUUACUUACCAUUAAUAAUAAUAAUACUAUUUUUUUUCUUUAUGGAAAUAAUACUCUUGUUCGUACAUGGCAUGUUUAUGCUAUCCAUGCAUGCGACUGUACUAAAAAGCUUGAACCCAUUUAUAUUAACUGAUGAUGAUUCUGCACCCAUCUUCCACAAACAUUAACACAUGAAAAAUGGCCAACUGGCCAUGUUCUACCUAGGUGAAAGUGGUUUACUAGUGACUCUGUUGUGAGGUCUAGCUACACACAUGAUCAAUUAAAUGAUUAAUUUAAUAUUUUUUUAAAAAUAAAAAAUAAUUUAUUUUUAUUUAGUUAUGGAGCCUCAUGUAUUAGUCCCUCAGGUUUUAGUCCAUUGUUAGAGACUAUAACAUCUUAUUUGUAAUUUGCGAUCGUGUUUAAAUUAACAGUGAGAUUCAUAGAAUUAUGGUGAAUCGCUGUGAUUUUGAUAAAAAACAAUAAAAAAAAAAUACACUUUGAAGCUUCACUAAAUUUCGGUGUUAUGUGUUUUUUUUCAAACUCUGUUAAUCUAAAUAUAUAGAAAAUGAAAAUAAAAUUAAGAUAAUUAAAUAGAUUAAAAUAUAUUUUUACCUUUUAUUUGUUAUAUUGGAUAUUCAAAAAUUAAAUAAUUGUGUGUCAAAAAUAUUUCUACAGAAAUAUUAACACUUCCCUCAAAAAAAGAAAUAUUAACACUUCCCCCAACACUCGUAAGGGAUAUUUAAACUUUUUUUUUUUUUUGAAAAAGCUAAAAUAAAAUAUAUUACUGAAAUACUAGAAAAAUCGAUCGGCACAAGAAGUGCCAAAAAACUAGUUGAAAGAGUAUCAAGUUACAUCGGAAUAAACGAAAGUAACAAAACAAAAAAGGGGCCAAGUGCCAAGACCCUAUUACAGAUAAACCCAAACAAGGUAAGGGAUUCAACCACAAAAAAUGAUAAGAGAAACAAAGUUAGGACGAUUCACAUUCAGUCACCAAUAUGAUUGAAGCUUAGUUUUAUCGAGUAAUUGAUCAACCGAGGCCUUCUUUUUGUUAAAGACUCCAACGUCUCUUUUGAUCCAAAUCACCCACACACAAGAAAGCCAUAUGGAGUUCAAAGUUAAAUUGAUGUAAAUAGUCUAACACUGAAUACAAAAUAUUAACGCAAACUUUCUUUGCAAGUGGAAAAAAAAUAUUAACGCACAAAUAUUUUUACAAAAUGGUUAAAAGAGACGAAAAAAGGCUUUGGCUAAUCAUAGAGUAAAUAUUUUUUUGAAGAAUAAUCAUACAGUACAUGUUAUACAGUGAUGAAUGAUGAUCCUUUUCUUACUAGAAAAAAGAUAUGAUAAGUCUUUAUUCCAGUCUAUACCCCUUUUUCUUUUGUGCUUUCUUCCCUUCCUAACAACUUCAUGAGCCUUUUGUGUUUUCUAUUUUUUCGUCAUUCUAUUUUUUUGAUAUUAGGGUUGUUCCCUAGCUUAUGCAAAAAUAAAAAAAUAAAAAAUCACUAUAUAUGUAUACCCAAAUAAAUUCCUUCCAACUCUCUAAGUUACAACUAUUGAUGAUGCUACAUACUUGAAUUUAAAUUUAAUUUAAUCAAAAAGAUUAGACCCAACAAAAAAUAUAGGAAAAGUAAGAAUUUUUCAACAAAUAGAGCCUUUUUUAUAUUAAUUGUUGUAUCAUUUUUAAGUAGUGAGACUUUUUACUUUGUGUACUUCAAAUUAUUUUAGGUCUGUAUAUAUAUAUGGUUAAAUCAUUUUUUUUUAACCUAAAGAUUUGCAUUACCAACUGGGGCCUAGAGAAAAGAGAACAAAUAUCUCUCAAACCCUAAUUUUUUUUUUAUGAAACUUGAAUUCAAGACUUUACUCUGGAAAAGAAAAACCAAAUUCUUUAUUCCUUAAAAAAAAAAAAGUGAGAUCUCUAAAUAAAUUUGAAGUAAGAUACCAUGAGAGAUGACAUGAUUAAUAUUAUUUUUUUGUGAAUAAUUAAUAUUUUGUUUUGGUCAAUAUAAGUCAAGCAUAUAAUGAGAUGCACACAAACGAAAGCCGAAAGCAUUAUAGAAAAAUGUAUUAGGUCCAACUUUCUUUUUGUCAUUAUUUGCUUGCCUUUUUGCAGUAUGAAUAUCCAUUUAGAUGAAGGAUGAUUAUUUUGGUUUUGGCCCAUAAAUCAAAUACCAAAUCCCACUAUAUCAUAUACUUUUCAUCAAUUUCUUUCGUUUAGUCUUUGUCUAGUUUAUUAUUUUAUUAGUUUUCAUCAAGAACACUAUUCUUAACAAAUCAAAAACCACUUCAAAAUGUCAUAUACCAGCCUACAGGAAUGAAAUUGAAAAGGACAUUGGAUUAGAUAUAUAUGGAAAAUUUAAUUGUUUCUCAUUUUCACAUUGCUACAAAGACAUAUACCUAGUAUUACUUUUUGUAAACUAUAGUAUUAUAUGUUAAGAGGGGUAACAUUGACGCAACAGAUAAAGUUUUUAUUAUGUGACUAAAAAGUUAUGUGUUCAAGUUCUGAAAACAACUUUUUAUGUAAAAAAAAUAAGGUAAAACUGCAUGCGUACAAUACACUAAAAAUGGUGAGAUUCCUUCCCAAACUCUACGUAUCCAGGAGUUUUAGUACAUCUGGUUGGUUUUUUUUAUAGUAUGGGAUGUUAAGAUUCCAUCUAAUCCCAAUGUGAAAUCAUUCCCUAUACACGUUUCUUGCUAGCGGGAAUUAGCAUGAUGAAUUCUUUUUCAUCAAAAAGAAAAGGGUUGGAAAGAAUGUGGAAAAGUAAAAGUUGGUAAAAAGAAAAAGUGGUAUAAAUACAAUAUCAUGAUUGAUGUAGUGUGGUAGUGGAGAAGUUAUAAUAAGUAUAACCAGCUGACCAUAAAAUAAUCAACUCAAUGGAGUGUAAGAAAUGCAGUUAAUUAAGGCUACUCCCAUCCAAAAUUCAUGAAUAAAAUAUACUAAGAAUAAUUUUGUUGCAAUGUUUUACUAAUUAAAAAAAUUUGCUCAUUAAUCUUGAGACAUUUUAUCAACAAAAGAAAGUAAAGUAGUAAUUAUUGGGGCACGCAACCUGCACCUUGCUUAUUUGCACUUAGUAUAUAUGUAUGAAUUAUACUGUCAAACCCAUUGAACAAAAUUUAGUGGGAAAAAUUUUGAGAAGAAAAUAUGCAUCUUUCUAAUUCCGUUAUUAAAUUUUACAAUAAAAAAAUUAAUAAAAAAUUUUAUUUUUUUUUGUUAAUUUUAUUUUUUCUAGUAGAUGUCAGGUUAUGGGAGUGAGUUUUCUAAUGCUUUGAUUAGUUUCCAAAACAAAAAAUAAAAAAGUGAAAGGGAUAAAGGAAAAUAAUAGAAAUAGUAUAAAAAAUGAGAAUGUUAUAUUGUUUGAUAUGACAGAAAAUGGAAGAAAAGAAAUAUAUAUAGUAUCUUAUUGAAUGCAGUACUGAUACGAUUAGGGGUGGUAAAAAUACUCAUACCCACGGGUAUCUGUGGGUAAAAUCCGUCAUCAGCACAGGGGCAGGUAGUUAAACGGGUUUCACGGAUAUAGUAAACAGGUAUUUGACUAUCCAUUAUUAUAUAGAUACGGACACGAAUUUGACUGUAUCCAUACACAUGGGUACUCAUACCCGAUAAUAAAUUAAGUAAAUUACUACAAUAUCGUUAUAUAUCUUAUCUUAUUACCUAAAGUUGUUACCUUAUUGAAGGAAAUUUUAUGGUCCACCUAAGAUUCAUCAUUAAUAACCUAUUUUUAGUUUGAGUUUCUUUUUAAUUCAUCUUAUUAAGUUUACCGUUUCCACUUCAUUCAAAUCAUAAAACAUAUCCUAUGGAUUAUGUAAGAAUCAUGAAUUUUCUAUGUGUAAUGUGUGAUUUAUGAAAUUUUGAAUGGAUUAUGUAUGGAUGUUUAAAAUGUAAAGUUUUUUGGUAAUUAAAAAAAGUUAUUAUAUGUAAAAAAAAAAUUAAAAAAUUAAAAAAUUCAUGGGUAUCCAUGAAUACCCAUGAAUAUCUUAAUAUCCAUGGGUACCCGUAUAGUGGAUACCCACAAGGGUACGGGGCGGAUACGGGUAUCAUAUCUAUACAACGGGGCGGGGACGGGUAUCAUACUAUCUGUACCCAUGGGAACCCAUUGACAUCCCUAGAUACGAUCAUAAGAAGAAGUCACAAAGAGCAUACAAGUCUGAAGAGAGGUUCAUAAGUGACUCGUCUCAUUCUAGUAAAAGAAGAACGACUCAAGUAGUUUUUAGAAGGAUCUUUUAGGCAUACUCUACUAGUUAGUUACUAAGAAGCGCUAUUAUGUGGCCAUUGUAGUUAUCUUACGAUGAAGAUCCACAAGCAUAUAAAAGCCUUGUAUGCAUCAUUAUAAUCAAUGAAAAAUAACGAAUUUCCUUUCUUUUAUCUUUAGUUUUCUUCUUUAAUUUCUGAAGUGUGAUCGCUAUUCAAAUUAGGCCGUAUCAAGUACUCAAAUCCUUUUUUUGGUCAAGCUGUUUGAUGACUAAAAUUUCACAUAUAAGAUUAAUAAGUGGAGUAUACGGAGUUCUAACCCUGACCUUUAUAUAUAUUAUACAAUUUCCCAAUCAACUGAGUUAACCUCACGCGACAUUAAUUUUUUUUAUAAAAUACCAAACAAAUGAACAAAAAUUAAAUUUCGUUGCGUAUAUUGGAUCUAGAGGGAGUACACCAUUAAACUUUUUUGUUAGAACUUGUUUUGGAUCUGUCUGUCAUGGUCAUUAAUUAGUUCACCAAUGUUAUGUCCAUAGUUGUUUUACAAAACCAAAUUUGGUUGCUUAUACGGAUUGAAAUCCAUUUUUAAGACCAAAAAGUCACAUCUGUUUCAACGUUAAUGGAUUGUUUGUUUCGUUGGAUUAGAAGUACCAAGCAAGCACUAAAUACGUUUUUCCAUAGUGGGUGUCCUAAUUUCUUCCUUUUUGCUCUAAUCAUUCAAUUUGUCUACCAACUUUUCACAACCUUUCAAUAUCAAAGUUCCCAUUCCUUGGGAUUUUGUGGGAAGGAAAUUACAUACACAUUAUUUCAUGUGGUACAACUUUUGUCCAUCACUAUAAAAUUUCGUUAAAUUAAAAAAAAUAUAUAGUAGUAUAAAGUUUAUUAAUAAAUGAUAUUAUUUUAUAAAUGUAAUACAAUUGAAUAAAUGACUUGUUCAUAUGAUUUAUUACAGGUUGCAUAAAAAAUGUAAUGUAAUUAAAUUUAAUAGUUAUUAUAGUACUGAAAGAAUAUUAUUUUAUAUAGGGUAAAUAUGUUUUUAGUCCCUAUAAAAUUACAAGUUUUUAAGUUUAGUCUGUACAAAAAAUUUAUUCACUUUUACUACCAAUUUGCAUUUUGUAAGGACUAUUUUGGAGGACUAAAAAUAUCCAUUUUUUGUAUAAAGUUUUCAAAAUAGGGACCAUUUUUAAAACUACAAUAUUUUGGAGGAGUAAAUUUAUCAUUAAAAUUUUAUAGGGAUUAAACUUAAAAACUCAAAAUUUUGUAGGGAUUAAAAACAUAUUUAACUUUUUUAUCUUAGCGUAAUAGCAGUUUUAACCCCCAAGAAAAAAAAAUACAAAAUUGCCCCUUAAGUUUUGCAUCUAUGACAGUUUUUGCCCCCAAUGGUAAUUUUGACUCGGUCUAUGCUGACGUAGCACCCUAAGUGAGGUGCCUAUUAUUAUUUUUUUUUACCAAAAAUUGUCCUUGGAUGUCAAAACUGCUACAGUUGCAAAAUUUAGGGGACGGUUUUGUAGUUUUUUUUUCUUUAGGAGGCUAAAAUCGCAACUUCGUAAAAGUUAAGAAGCGAAAACUAUUAUUAAACCUUUUAUCUAACAUUUCGCUUUCAAAAAAGAUGAAAUUAAAUUAUGAAAUACAAUCGAUUGUCUUGUUCCACUAUAUUCCUUUCACUUUACAAAUUCCAAACAUAAAAACAUGACUUGUUCAAUAACUUCAAAAUUUUAACACGUAAGUCAAAGCUCAUACGUGAAGCCAUAAUGCCGUAUAGAGAAUUUAUUUUAAUUUAUUCUUCACGAUUAAAAAUAUAAUUAAUUUGUUCCUAAAUUUUCCUUGUUUCGACUUUUAAGACUUGGGUGUAUUAUUCACCCAACUAAGCAAAAUCAACACAUCUCUUUCACUUUCUAUAUUUCCAUGUUUUGAAUUGAAAUUUCAAGUAUAGGUCAGUGUCUUAAAAGGGUAGGUGGUCACCAUUCAAAACUAACUCUUCAUAGCUAGAUAAAAUGGGUUGAAAUAUAGUACCGUUUAAUAAUGAUACAUUGAAGCUGUAAAUAAAUUUUACUUUUAUGAUUAUUUUUGUUUCAUUAUCGGUAUAUCAAAAGUAAAAAAAACAUAUUUCAUUAUCAUUUUUUUUAGGGAAUUAUCAUUUUUAAGAAGCCAAAGAAAUUAUAUUAAAAAUAAGGUGGAUGUUAAGUUAAGCACAAGAUGUGUCUAACAAAAAAUAAAAAAAAACAAAAAUCGACGAACGAUAUUACAUGGUGGAAUAACCAAGCAUGAAAAUCAUAAAAAGAAUUAGGCAUGCACACCUUAAGUCACGACCAAGAAUAAAGUUUUACCCAGUUAACAAUCUGAGCAAUAGAAAACUCUUUGUUUUGAAAAAUCAAAAAGUUUCGCUCCUUUCACAUAAUCUAAACAUAAGCUAGCCAUAUUAUUUGAAAAAUACACAAAUAUCCUUCUUCAAAAAUGAGAUCCCAAAAAUGGGAAGCAUGUGAUACAAUAUCAUAAGGAAGCACGCUAAAUACCCCCGCCAUCGCAAAGUAGAAGUACAGAUAUUCUAACAAAAAAAAAAUACACUCCAAAAACAAGUGACUAACUGAUUCCUCCUGUCCGAACUCAGCCGAGCAUAAGUAAGUCAAAUUAUCCUUAGUUAUUAAUCUUUGUUUCAUUAAUCUUCAUGCAAGAAGGGAAACUUUUAGAGGCACCACCACUUUAUUCUAGAUGAUGUCUGUGAAUGGUGCUUUGACUUGUUGAUCAUCAUAAGUCAAUAGUUUGUAAACUUCUUUUAUCAAAUAACCUUGAGCUAGGUCUAGUUUCUAAUACCAAGUAUCCGCAACAUAUCAUCAAAACAAUAUUAUCCAACAAAGAACAUCACUCCACAACCAUUUCUUCCUCCAUCUCCAACUGUCACCCUCAAACCCUCAACCUAAUCGCCUCAUCUAACCACUGAAAUAUUAGUAUCAACAUGAAGAUAAAAAAAUUCGGUCAAAUCUAACUCGUAACAACCCUCCUUCCAGUCAAGUAUCGUUCUAAAAGGAAGAGCAUUCUCCAUUACCUAGAUGACGUCCUAUACCUGCCUCAAACCAAUUGUCCUCAUGCACUCCUACACACUCUCUGACACCAAAUAAGUAUUUCAACCAACCAGACGCCUUGAAACCACCCCUUCUAAUACGCCCACACAAAUCACUUAAAAUUCAAUUUUAACCAAAAUCAUCCUAUUCAAAAUCAAUUUUAAACAUGGUAAAACCAAACACAUUUAACUUUAAUCAAAUUAUAUUUUCCAAAAUAAAAAAAAAAAAUAGCAUUCAACACUUAGUACAACUCAAACACUCAUCCUCCAACAUUAGUUCACUGUUCCCUUAGUUUGGUUCCAUCUUGAUCAUCAUUAAUUACAGUUUCCUUGUUUCUCACUCUACCUUCAACACUUCAAUUCAAUGCCAGCAACUUUACCCAAAAUAAAAAAAGAAUACAAUAACAUCAUAAAAGAAACAGAUUAAAAUUAAAUUGAAUGGAGCAGCUACACCAAUACUACUUCCAAAAACCCAAAAUUAAAAAAUGUAAAAAUUCUAAAUACCCCCCUUUAUAUUCCACAGUCCACAUUCAAAAAUUCUAAUACCUCUUUUUAAUAAAUCAAACACUAAUCACAGAAUUUUCAAACAUAAUGUAAAAAACAAACAACACAGCUUCAUACUCUUCCAACAAACAACACAGCUUCAUACUCUUCCAACAAACAACACUACUUGUCUCUUCCAUUCAUUCCUUCCACACAUAAAAUAAUCUCUCUCUCUCUCUCUCUCUCUCUCUCUCUCUCUCUCUCUCUCUCUCUCUCUCUCUCUCCAGCUUAUAAUCAAUUACACCCAUCAUCCUUCUUUUACACACGCCUACUCAAUUUGUGGCGCAUGCUAUGUCUCAUUUUGCAUAUGUUUGAAUUUUCUGUAACACUCUCUGACUUCUCCACUAUCUUCCAUUUUAAUAUUCAAGUGUAAAUUUCAAUCUUUAAGUACUCUUGAGUAUUAAAGCUUCAAACUUUAACAUUUUUUUGUGUUUUCCUUCUUGUAUUCUCAAAUGGGUCAGUUCCAAUUCUCUAAAAAAUUCACUCUUCAAGUAUAGUUCAGAAUUAAAGCUUCAAACUUUGAUAAGUUUUUUGUGUUUUUCUUCAUGUUUUUUCAAAUGGGUUUGUUCCAAUUUCUCUGAAAAAGCUUGUUAUGGUUUCUUUGGAGUUAUAUAAGUCUCAAAGUGAUUGAAUUUUGAGGCCUCAUUUGGAUUCUGCAGAAGAUUUUUUUUUUGAAGGAAAUUUGUAGCAGAUAUGGUAGCAGAAGCUUGGAUUGUAAAAAUGGGAAACCAAGUAAGUUCAAAUCUGAAACAUGCUCUUCUUCUUGAAACUUUAACAAAGAAAAAGCAUAAUCAAAAGAGAACAGAGAAUAAAGAAACUAUAGGUAUUCUUUCUUUUGAAGUAGCAAAUGUGAUGUCAAAAAUUGUUCAUCUUCAUAAAUCACUUUCAGAGUCUGAGAUCUCAAGGCUUAAAAAUGAGAUCUUGAACACUGAAGGUGUUAAGAAUUUGGUUUCUUCUGAUGAAGGUUAUCUUCUUGAGCUUGCUAUGGUAGAGAAGCUUGAAGAGUUGAACCGUGUUGCUAGUGUUGUUUCUAGGUUAGGUAAGAAGUGUUCUGAGCCUGCUUUGCAAGGGUUUGAGCAUGUUUAUAGUGACAUUGUUGGUGGUGUUAUUGAUGUGAAGGAGUUAGGGUUUUUGGUUAAGCAUAUGGAAGGAAUGGUGAGGAAAAUGGAUAGGUAUGUUAAUGUUACUAUGAGUUUGUAUAGUGAAUUGGAGGUGUUGAAUGAGUUGGAACAAGCAGUGAAGAAGUUUCAGAAUAAUCAGCAUGUGGAGAGUAAGAAAGCUUUUGAGCAGAAACUUUUAUGGCAGAGACAAGAUGUGAGACAUUUGAAGGAUGUUUCUCUUUGGAAUCAGACUUUUGAUAAGGUUGUUGAGUUGUUGGCUAGGACAGUUUGUACUAUUUAUGCUAGAAUUUCUGUUAUCUUCGGUGAAACCGCUCUAAAGAACAAUAGUUUUGGGGUUGGUGUUGGUGGUGGAUCGCCGGUUAUGCAAAAUGAAUGUGGAUUUUUUUCUGGUAAUAUUAAUGUUCAGACGAAUUCAGGGAACUUGAAGCGCAAUCCAAGCAAGAGAAAUGGAUCUCAUCCAGGUUCAGUUGCAAGAAUGCCUGCAGUGCAGAGAAGGGGAGGAGCUACUAGUAAGCCGCGGAUCGACAUGAGAAGUGGCGAAUUAGCUUCUCUUCGGCCUGAGGAUUUUGGUUUUCCUUGUGGAACAAGUCCGGGGAGACUUUUUAUGGAGUGUCUAAGUUUGAGUAGCUCGGUUGCAAGAUUUGAUGAUGCCGAUGAUGGUUAUGUUAUCAAUCACGAGGAUCAAUACAGUCAUGUAUCUAGCAGUCGCAGUGGUGCCAUGGUGAAUAGUAGUAUGAAAAGGGAGCAUUUGUUCCAUUCGGGCGUCCUAAGUCAUGUUCAGAGUGGCGUUUCGUUUACCGGAGAACUAAGACAAGCCAAAUCCGGCGUACAAAGUUGCUCAACGUUUAGUCCGAAAAGUAGGUUAGCUGUUUAUGCUCCUCCUUCAACACUUGGUGGCUCAGCUCUUGCAUUGCACUAUGCCAAUGUCAUAAUUGUCAUAGAGAAGCUUCUUCGCUAUCCUCAUUUAGUUGGUGAGGAAGCCAGGGAUGAUCUAUAUCAGAUGCUACCAACAAGCCUAAGGUUAUCUCUCAAAGCGAAACUGAAGUUGUAUGUCAAAAAUUUAGCCAUCUACGACGCCCCUCUUGCCCAUGAUUGGAAGGAAAAUCUUGAUGGUAUGCUUCGGUGGCUUGCGCCUCUUGCACAUAAUAUGAUGAGAUGGCAGAGUGAGCGUAAUUUCGAGCAACACCAGAUAGUUAGCAGGACAAAUGUUCUACUACUUCAGACGUUAUAUUUCGCCGACCGUGAGAAGACCGAGGAGUCAAUUUGCGAUCUUCUUGUUGGGUUAAAUUACAUAUGUCGUUACGAACAACAACAAAAUGCAUUGUUGGAUUGUGCAAGCAGUUUUGAUUUUGAAGAUUGUAUGGAGUGGCAAUUGCAAUGUGGAUCUUCUUUUCUCAAUUGAGUAUAUAGACUCUAAAUUUUUGAAAAUCUUCAAUUUGGUGAGCAUUUUAUUCGUUUUGAAAUAUUUUAUCAUGAGGGUAUCAUCUCAAAAUUCUCAAUACAAUGUGGAAUUCUGAACUUAGCUACAUGAAAAGUAUUAUUGUAUUUAAUUAAAAUUAUAAUUUUACUUUGUGCAAUACAUAAGCUGUCAUUUAUAUAGGGACAUAAAUGUUCAUGCUGAACUUGUAAAUAAGUUUAUUGUACAGAUUGCAUAAUGCUUAGAGUUUGUUUUAUUAGAAUUGUUGUCAUGAAUAGCAUUGGUGAGCAUUGGUGUUUUAAGUUAAUCCUCAACCUUGUGUGACCAUUGAUUAUCAUACUACUAUUUAAUAUGGUUUUUCCUGUUAUAGAAUCUUGAAUUAAAUCAUAGAUAUUGGAUUCAUAGCAUCUUUGAUUAAUAUGCUUAAGAAUCUACUGUAUUUGAACUCCUGCAGUUGGUAAUUUUGAUUUUUUUAACUUGCAAUAUCAUUUAGGGUAUGAUUUAUAGGCUAGAUCAUUGUUGCUGUCUAUACAAGUUAUCUUAAAAAAAGACUAAAAGGUCAUUUUGGUCGAAAAAUGUGUGAUGCGAUGCCAUUAUGGUUCUUGAUCGUAUCGAAAGUUGAAAAAUAUUCCUUCUGUUAGUAAUUUUAUGGACCAAACUGACAUACAAAAGACACAUUCGAAGAUCAAACUAACUAACUGACUAGUAAGUAAUUCAUUUGAGAAUGUUUUUGUAAUUUUGAUAGAUUUUGGGAUCAUAGUAACACCAUUUGACAUUUUUAUGUUACUCAACAUAAAAUUGAAUGCUGAACCAGCAGCCACAUUUCACAAUCAUGGAAAGAUAUACACACAAGUAAUUGUGCAAUAUCUAACAAUCAAUUGAUUGGGAUCUUUAUCUGUACAUGUGUUAGAGAGUUGACAUACAUUAAAAAUCUUUCCUAUCUCUUCACUCUGAUCAAACAUCUCAAUUUGUUUCCUUUCUGGUGAUAGACAAGGCUGGCCUCUAAUGCUGUAGAAGCCAAAAAGAGCUUAGUAUAUUGAUGAAAUGAGGGGCCUAUGGUGUAAUUUUGUGAUUAAACUUCUUUAGUAAAAUAGGAAAUAAAAUACAGUACUGUGUUGACUUGAAGUGAUACAGCAUAGCUACCAUUCUGUCAUAUGUGAUAUUCAUUUAUAACUAUAAGCUGAAACAAAACGUUAUUUUACAUUUUUAGCUAAUCUGCACUUUUCGCCCUCUAAGUUUCAAAAUGUUGCAAUUUUGGCCCCCUAUUAAAAAAAUGGUAAUUUUGGCACCUUUCGUCCCAAAAUUGCUGAGAAGACGCCACGUGUCCCAAAACAAGGGCCAUAAUCGCAACUUUUUGAGAAGAUAAGGGGUCAAAAGAUCAUAUUUGUCUGAUGUUAGGGGGUCAAAAGAGCAUAUUUCCCUAAACAUUGGGGGUCACUUUUGCCAUUUUGUUUAAUAGGGGGCGAAAAGUGCAGUUUAACCUAUAUUUUAUUAAAAAAGAUUCUUAAUUCUUAAUUAAAAUAAAGUGAUAUUUUAUAUUUUAUCAAAAAAUAAAUAUGGAAUGAAAACAAAAAAAUUCUUCAACUAAAUAACAAAUCUUUGUGUUGUAGUAUAUAUGUGGACCAUGUUAUUUCUUGUUUAAGCCAAAAUUGACAGGAUCAAAAGUCAAAAUAUUAUCUUCAUUUAGUAUUUUUCCCUAGUAAGAACACAACAAAGAAAAAGAUGGGGAGGUUUUAAGAUGGCAAACUACCUUGUCAGUUUAAUUAAUAAUAUUACUAAAUCCAGCUAGGAAAGUAGGCGCAAUGAUGUGGCAUAAACAUAGAGGUAGAAGAGGUGCAUUCACUUUGGCAAUAAAGGGCUUCUAAGUAUUGUGUGUGUUAGUUGGAUGCUAUUAAUCUUUUGUGGGGAGUGUUUGUGGGUGGUUUUUCCCUUUCUUUAUGAGUUAUUUAGUACUUGCUUUUGAUUGUGUGGCUCAUAAAAUUAAGGUCCACACCAUUAGACUCUAUGAACCAAUAAUAUGAUAGGUUAAUGUUGUUACUUUAUAACCGAAGAACACUUAGAUGAGAUGACACAGAUCUCUUAUAGCUUAAUCAAGAUUAUGGAUUCAAAUUCAACAUUGGACAUACAGCUGCGUUAAAACUCUUAGAAAGAGUUUGUCACUUUACACCAAAAUUAAAACUCUUACGGAGAGUUUGCCGUUUACAAUGAAGGGAUUACGUAUUGAGCAGGGAAGCAUAAAAACAAAAAUUAAAGGGGUUUCAAAAGCUUCUUUGCAAAUUUAUUGUUUAUGUUAGCCAAUUUGAGUAAAUUAACUCAGUGUUGAAUACUAAAAUUGUAGAUGAGUGAAAUCAUUUUUUUUUAGGGUAUAGGCUUGGGAAACACUUAUAAUUCGUCCCCCAAUUUGGUUUCUAGUCAAAUUUGAAUUAAUGUUUUCUUUGCAAAAACUACUCUAUAGCUAUGACUCACUCUAACAAUUUGUUGGUUGCACAAAAGUUUAGCCAUUGAAGAUGAACCCUUGUAGUAAAGUAAGAGACAAACUUUUAUUUAAAGUUGAUCUAUAAAGGGGACCAAUUUUAAUUAAGACUUUGAUCAGACAUUAUAGACUGGAUUUUUAGUAGUUAAUACUAAGUUAUAUGCCUAUACUUGGUUUUAGAAGAGUUAAUUGAAAUUCUUAAAAUGUCUUGCACAAUUCACUUUUAUUGUCCAAAUAUCAUUCAGUUGGAAGUCAAAGAUUAAUGCAUAAAUUUAUUUAAGAGAUUAACCUUUUUCUCUGACUAUAUGCUUAAAUAAUCUAAUUAUUUGUCAACAAUAUCACACCACAUCAUUCUUAACAAAAUAAUUGUAUCACACCAUAUGGUUAGAAGUCUUUCACUAAAAGAUAAAUUGUUCAAGAGAAUCCGAAUUCGACUUAUGAUGAAACAAUUUUUGACUAAACUUGAUUUAUUUCUCCUUUAAACUUCGAACAACCAGGACCUCUUUCUCCCGAGAAUCAUGAGAUCAACGCUAAAAAAUAAAAAAAUAAAAGCCUUCCACAAAAUAGUGUGCUUGAAUGAAAAUAUGUUAAACAUGAUUUCAAAUAAAGUUUGAAUAAGAGUUAGUCAUAUUUUAAGGAUUUUAUAUGUUGAAACCGUAGUUUCUUUUUCAAAUAUAUUCAAUGAUGUGUUGCUACAUCAUUUAACAUUAAAUUUGGUGAUAGAUACAUGAUUUGAUAUAAAAUAUUUACAUUUUUUAUGAUAGAUGUAAAUGUUCCUAACACUAAAAUAAUAUAUAAAUUAAUCUCAUAUUUUAAAUACUUUAUAUUCUAGAAAUAAUAGUUUGAAUGAAAAUUCAUAUUUAUAAAGUUACUUUUUAUCACUCUUAGUUAAAAACUUAAAACUGAAAUCUAAAGUCAAAAUCACUUUUGACAUGAUGAAAUAUUGAGAACUCAAAUGCUGAUCUAAACAUGCCAUGAAAAAAGGAAAAUGAGGACCAUCGAACACAAGUUUAUGGUACAAUGCUUUAUGAUAUAUGUCAGAUAAAUCUAUGUGUGUACUAUAAAAAUACUUAUUAGGGAACUAUGGUAUGCAUGCUUUUGGUCCCCACUAUGAUAGAAACAGACACUGGUCUAGUUCUUCUAGCCACUCGAAGAAAUUGCAUGUGCAGGCUUUGUGAUCAUUAUCAAGCUUGGAAUUUCAGUUCCUUCCAACUCCCUUGGUUGUGCACAUUCAUGGAGGCUCUGGCUCCGUACGCAAGCUAAAUGGGUCAUGCACCGUGCAUGACCUUAAUUUUUUUAUUUUUUGCAAAGCUCUUGAAUUUUGACCUGCUAGCAUUUUAUUAUUUAAAUAUAUAUUGAUUUUAACAAAUGCAAUUGAAUUUAAUAAAAGAGUGUUUUAAGUUAUUUAAUUGUAAUAAAUUGGUCCUUUAAGUUUUUUUGGUACCACUUAAGUCAUUUAAGUUAAUCAAUUGUAACAAGUUGGUCCUUCAAAAAUAUAAGUUAUUCGGAGCCUAAAAGUCAUAAUUAAAUAAUUUAAAAACCUAAAUGAUACGAAAAAUAUUUAAAGGACUAAAUUGUUACAAUUAAAUAUCUUAAGGCUUAAUCGUUCUUGAAAAAGGAUUUUUUUUUUAAUUUUUUUUUUAUGAGAAAUGUUUUAUAAUUAUUCUCAAUAAAAACAAUGAACAAAAUAAUAAUGAGAAUCUUCCUAAAACUAAGAUUCCAUUAUUCUUCAAAAAAAAUGAGAAUCUUCCUAAGAACUAAGAUUCCAUUCUCUAAGAAUCUUCCUAAUACUAACUUCUGUUCAAGGGAAAUCUUCCUAGGAACUAAGAUUUCAUUCAAUGAGAAUCUUGUUAAGAAUUAAGAUUUCGAUCUUUGAGAAUCUUCCUAAGACUAACUUCUGUUCAAUGAGAAUCUUUUUAAGAACUAAGAUUCCGUUCUCUGAGAAUCUUCCUAAGAACUAAGGUUCCGUUCCCUAAGAAUCCUCAACAGACUAACUUCCGUUCUAUGAGUCUUCCUAAGAACUAAGAUUUCGUUAUAUGAUAAUCUUUCAAAUACUAACUUCCAUUCUUUGAGAAUCUUCUUAAGAUUAACAUCUGUUCUAUAAGAAUCUUCUAAAGACUAACUAUUGUUCUAUAAGAAUCUUUCAAAGACUAACCUCCAUUCUAUGAGAAUCUUUCAAAGACAAACUUUUGUUCUAUGAGAAUCUUACAAAGACUAACUAUCCUAAUAUGAGAAUCUUCUAAAGACUAACUAUCAUUUUCUGAGAAUUUUCUAAAGACUAGCUACCAUUUUAUGUUUCAAAUUUUUCUUUAUACAAAAUAUUUUAUUUAAAGGUGAUUAAUAUGGAAUUAAAUACAUACAAACUAUUACUUGACGAAAUAUAUACAAACUAGUGAUCAUUUAAUUAUAAAUACUAGGGUUAAUGGUGCUUUACCCCCUGUAAUAUAGGUCAUUUUUUAUUUUCACUCUGUAAAUUUUUUUUUUUGGAAUAUCCCCCCUAAUAGGUCAUAAAAAAACGACUUUAUUUUUUUUUUUUUGCAAAAUUUUUUCGUUUUUUUAUGACCUAUUAGGGGGGUAUUCCAAAUUUUUUUUUUACAGGGGGUAAAUCAAAAAAAAUAUUUUACAGGGGGGAAAACAAAAAAUGACCUAUAUUACAGGGAGUAAAGCACCAUUAACCCUAAAUACUAUUGUUAAAAAAAAUAAUUAUAAAUACUAUUUUUUUAUUAUUUUCUUGGUGCAUUUCGAAUGAAUUAAUAUGUUCAAAUAGGCCGUGCACAUAACAAUUAAUAAAAGAAGUGGCUUUUAUAAUUGUUUAAUAGCUAUCAACCGGCUCGAACAGGCAGUUCACAGUAAAGCAACCUACAAACUUUGGCAAUCCACUCCAAAAAAAAAAAAUUUGGUAAUUCACAUCUCCCAGCGUGUGAGACCCAUCAGCAUAGUGCACGCUAAACGGAGCCAUUCAUGAAUAGGAUUUCCGGUUGUAACUACGUGAUACAAUUACAAAACUAUAAGUGGUUUGAUUAAAAUUAAUGAUCGAGAUCGUUUAACUGUGUAAAAUUGAGUUCUUAAAUCAAUAGACGAGAUAUGUUACAGUGUAAAAUCACGUGCAAACUCUACAACAGUGAAUUCAGAUCCGGCUAAUUGCUCGUUUGGUUAUGUGUUUUAUGUAGCCAAACACGAGUCACUACUCAAACGUGAUUUGAACCAAUUUUUGUGUUGUUUGGAAAUCGGAAAAUCGAAUCUCUACAGUGUGAAUCUAUGUCCAUACUUGAGUUCAUUCAAAGCUACAAAUUGAAGCUUCCACCGCAAAGCAAAAACAAUUUCGGAUAAUAAUUUUCUAUGAUUUGUAUCCUUUAACAAUUGGUAAAUCUUUUUUAGUGUAAACUUAUCCAAACAUAAAUCACUUCAUCUCAAUUCACUUUUAACCAAAAUCAAUUAUGUCAAAUUCAAUUCUCAACACCGCAGAAUCAAACAUGUACUUAGAAGUAUUUUUCAAAUGUCAAAAUCAAUCAUAACUUUAUAAAAUUUUAUACUUAACAUUUUUUUAAGAAAUCAGUUUUGGAGACUAAAAACAACUCGACUCGAAACUACUAUUUACAACUUUUGAUUCUAGAAUUGAUUCUGACACACAAAUUCAUAAUUCAACUCACCAAAUACAAAUCACAUUAUCUCCAAAUCACCUUUAGCCAUAAUCAAUUUUACGAUUUAGUUCAUUCAAAAUCAAUUUUUGUCGAAGUAGAACCAAACAUACACUAACUCUACUCUUGAAUCUCUAUUUCCUAGUUAGAACUUAGAUGCGACUCAUUUUUGAUCCAUAGUAUCAACCUAAAGUUGAAGUUUGUGGCUCAUCUGAUCUCCGAAACACCACACCAAGCAUUUCAUAGAUAAUAAGCCCUUUUUAUUGCUCUGAAACACCAAACCAAGUCACCAAAGAUUUCAUAGAUACACUUUCUGGAUUGGUCAACCUUUAAAAUAAGUUAAUUAGAAGUUAUGAACUGAUUCAAUAAACAACAGUUGAGUCGUAACUCCUGAUAUGUUUUAUGCAAUCGGGAGUUACGAUCCAAUAAAUCCGAUACACUUUCGAGCAAACUAAAAGACUCGUAAAACAAUUCUCUUGAAUAUGACAUCCUCACUUAAUAGUUCCAAUUGUACCUGUUAUCAUGGUUUUUGGGUGCCAAGCCAUUAAUUGGACUUGAACCUUUCGACCGUUGAUAUCUCUUUUUUCUUGGGAAGGGUAAAAGGAGAAAAAACCCUUAGAUUCUAAGUUCGGGGGUCGUUUUCGCUACGGGAAGGUGUUAGGCACCCGGAGCGAUUAUGGUAUUCCAUAAGAACCGCUCUCCUAAGUUUAUUUCUACGCUUUAAUUUUAUUGCCUAUUUGUAAAAAAGAAGGUAUGAUUAGUGAAGAAUGGGGGUGAGAAGAAGUAGAAUUUGAUUUUAUUUCGGCUUGGAGGAGUUUUGACUCAUUGCCUACGUACCCUUUUAAGGGAUCAAAACCGUUCGUAGUUCAUUCUCAAAAAAAGCUUUGUUUUUGUUGGUUGAUUUUAAGUUUGAAAAGAGAUUUUGAAGAAUAGAGAUGAGAGGCCUCAAGGGCAUGAGAUUUGAAAAAAAGUGAGGUGGAAUUAAUCGUUUUGCUAAAUGAAGUCCAAGUAUAGUUAAAGUUCAUUAAAGGUUUUACUUAAGAGAAUAAAAGGGAAAAGUUAUUGGAGUUUUGACUCCAUUUUUUAUGAAAAUAUUUGAAGUGAAUUUAUUUGCAUAUUUUUUGGAAAAAAUUGGAUUUUCUCUAAGUGUUCAAAACUAAACGUUCAUCUAAUCAUGCAAUCCUAGCCAUACAUCUAUGCAUACAAUCCUAAGCAUACAUCUAAAGUGAGUGUGUGCGUGUCGGUGCGUCAUAGUGUCCAUAGUCCAUAUUACAAAAAUUCCCUAAAUACAUUCUAUGGCCUCUUUGCCAAGCUACAAACCAAUGAUAACAAAUUACAUCACCAAAUACAUCACCAAAUGAAUUAAAACUUGCAAAAAAUAAAUGCUAGGCUUAAAGAAAGUGGAGAGUGGAGAGGGUGGUGGAAUGCUAUGAAAUAUAUGGCACAUGAGAUGAAAGGGUUAGUAAUCAUAAAGCACAAAAUAGUAGGAAAUAAUCAAAAGGAAAUGCAUAAAAAGCAAAAGAAAGUAAUAAAGUGGUAAAAGCCUAAAAAUUUUUGAUAUGAUACCUAAAGGUGCUUGUGACCCAUAAUUGUCAUUUCAUGGCAAUUUUGAAAGAGAUUUUGUGUCAAGCCAUGACAUGAAAUUAAUAGGGACACAUGCAAGCAAAGUACCAUACCAAAUUCAUAGAGAAAUUUGACACUUUAUUCCUUAGGACUAAACUUGUUGCUUGCAAAACAAGAAAUUCAUAAAAUCAUGUUCAAAAACAGCAAACAAAAGCACAUUUCCAGGGGCAUAUUCAUCAUCAUAUUAGGCAUCAUUCAUUCAUAUCAUAAUAUCAAAAUGUCAAGAACAAAACAUAGCAAAAUGCAUACCAAAAGUGUAAAAAAACAUGGAAUUAGUUCAUGUCAUUUUAACAUUUUUUGUUAUGCAAGAAACACCAUAGAAAUACCAAAAAAUGUAUCAAGAAAUCACCAGGAUUUUUUAGGAAUUUUCAUAAAAAAAAAAUGUGAGCAAGCAACAGGUGCAGAUAGCAAGGAAAUAUGGUGCAAAUAGCACAAAAAAGCAAAAAACGUGAAAGCAGACUAGGCCCAAACCCAAAGCCCAUACUCAAAAAACAGAUUGAACAGGAGCCACACGAUUGAUCUAGGAUUCUGAAACCCUAGAUCAAACGGCCAGGAACAAGGGGGACUAGACCGGAAAUAAACCGGUCCGGUUCACUGGCUAUAUAAACACAAUUGGCACCGGUUUUUCAUUUUUACACUCUUCUUCCUCUCUCUAAACCCUUCUCUCUCUAAACUUUUCUCUCUUCUCUCACCUCCCACCGGAUUCUGGAAAAAUGGAAGAUCUUCAUCUUCCCCGGUGAGGUUUGCUCCUCCGGCGUGGUGGCCGGCCGCCCAAGGGUGGCGGCGCCGCCGCCGGAGUUGAACAAACUUCACCGUUUUCAAAAAAACUUACAUUUUCAGAUAUCCUUUUUCAUACUAAACAAGAAUAAGGCACUGGAUUUUACAUGCAAGGCGUGAAUCAACGUAGAUCUACGUUUUUAUGUUACGGUCUUGAGAAAAAAAAUUUUAGGUUUUCAAAGAAUUUUGAAAGAAACUUGCAAAACUUUAAGAUCUACAUUGAUUCGGUGUUCGCUAUCUCUCUGACACGCGCUCUUGCUUACAACUUCUGGAUUUCUAUGGAUCUAUGUUUUGCUUACGGUUAUGAUUUUUAUGAUUCUGGAAACUUCUUGGAUUCUGUUUGCAGGUUUAACUAUGAUUAACACUUUUUGAGAGAGGAAAUGAGUUUUACGUGAUUUACCUGCGGUUUCAGACGGAGAUUUCGAACUGGAAUCUUUGAGAAACUUGAAUUCUGGUGCUGUUUGUUGAUUUUGCUCUUGAAUCCGAAAAUGAAACGGUGCUUUCCUACUGGUUUGCUUUCUUUAUCUUCUUCGCCGGUUCAGAACCUUGCUUCUUUCCCUCUUCUUCUCACUGAACCUUCUUCGUGAUCGGUACUGGAAUUUGCUGCUUCUGCAGUGAAUCCGUGCCUUGAAUUGCGAAGGAGAUGAUUCAAUGAUGAUGAUUCCUUAGGAGUCUCUGAGAAUCAAUGGAAAAUCCAACGAAUUUUGAUGAUUUUUGCUUUCUGGAAAACGGUUAGGGUUACGCCAUUGAUGAAUGUUGAAGCUUUUUCUGUUUUGAUUUGUAACUGACAAGAGAGAGAGUGUGACUCUUUGUUUAUGAGUUGGCACUUGGUGAAUGGAAAAACCUCCGAAAUUCAUUGCCACUGUGUUGCUUUUAUAGCUGACAAGUGUACUGUCUGGCCAAUGGAAAACUGACACAUGUCCUGGACUUGUGAUUUGGGCGCUGCCUUGUAAUUUUGGACUUUGAGGACCUCCCUGCAAUUUUGUAAAAUAUGGAACUGGACUGCAAUUUUAAAAACAGAACUAAAAAAUAUAAAAAUUGGACAAUUUGGACUUAAAUGCAAUUUUAACAAAAUUAAGGGACUAAAAUGCAAAGUAAAAAUAAAAUGAAUUAAAAUUUGUAAUUUUGACCAAACGUAAAGUGAACCUAAAAUAAAAUCAACAAACGGACUAAAACGAACCAAUGGCCUAAAUGAGGUACUUCAAAGUAACCUCUCUAUGCCAAAAUUUUGGGUGAAAUGACCAAAAUGCCCCUAGGGCUAAAAAUGACCUAAACUGACUCAAACAGACUCUGACACUGACUCAGAUGCAAACUUGAGAUGAAAUGUUAAAAAUGAAUUUGAAAAGACUCAGAGACAGUCACAAGGAUGAAAAUGGGUCCCACUGCAGGAAAUGACCAAAAUACCCUUCUGUAUGACUUUUUGCAAAUUUUGAAAUAAACUGAGGUAAAAACAAUGUAAUGAUUCAGAGACACUUUUGAAUGACUUACAAGACAAGUAAAGACAUUUCAAAAGGUUUUAUGCAAGAAAAACACAAGUAAAAUUGUGAUUGAAAAUACUGCGAGGCAGAGACAAUUUGAACUAUGCAGUUGAAAUCUGAUAUUUGACAAAGUUUGAAAUGAAAUUGGGCCCAGUAUUUUUAGGUCCAAAAACAGGGUAUAACAGUACCGAUAGUCUCAAAAUAUACAUUUGGGUGUGUUUGAUUUUUUGUGUAUUGUUAAGGUAAUAAAAUUUAUAGGAUCAUUUAAAGGGUCAUGCUUACUUGUGGUUUUAGGGUAUAUGCUAAGAAUUCCAUUAAUAGCAAAUAUUUGUUAUGAAAAAUUAAUUCUUACCUUCUUGAGAAAUAAAUAGAGACAAUUUUUAAUACAUAAUUUUUAUUUUGGGUAUCUUAACAUGUAUCCUAAGGUCACAGGUUAGCAUUUCCCUAAUUUAAAUUUGAUAUGUACAUUUUACUGUUUUGAUGAUUAAUUUGGAGAGAUUUGAUGAUUGUACAUUAUAUUGGGAUUGUGGUGAAACCACAUCGUCGAAAAUUUUAAAAUCUACCCACAGCGGGUAAAAUUCAAAACUUUCCACUACGUGGCCAAAGGUGUAGGAGGCUCGUGUAUCGGUAUGGGCCUAAAGACCCAUCCCAAUCAUCCAUUAAGAAGCCCAAUGUAAAUAUACAAUAGAAGCGAGAUAUGCAUGUCUGUUGUUGUAUGAUUCAAAAUUUGUUGGAUGAAGAAUAUUGUUGCUAAAAAUAUAAAAUAUUUGUUUCAAAUAUAUUUUGUGCUGAAAAUAUAUUUAUUGACAAUAAAUAUCUUUUUGUACCGUAUGAAGGAAUAUUUGAAACAAAUAUAUUUUAAAAAUAAAUAUUUGACGCAAAUAUAAUUUUAAAGGGAAUAUUUUAUGCAAAUAUUCUUUGUGCUGAAGGAGAAAAAAAAAAGAAACUUAUCUUCAGCGUGAUAUCCGUUUCAAAUUUAUGAGUUAUAUUUCUCUAUAAAUAUAAACCUUAUAUCAGAUGAAACCUUGAGAGAGAGGUAGAGAGGCUGAAAACAAGGGAUUAGAAACAAACAACAAACUAGGGUUUAUAGAGGUUUCUCUAAGCGGGAGACUCUAGGGUUGGGUUGAUUCACCUUGGGAAACACUAUUAGGAUUAAGUCUCUUGGCCACGGAAAUAGAUUGAGACUUUGGGUAGAAAUAGGUUUGAAGACUUAUUCUUGUAACCCUUUGAUAUCUCUUUUGUAAAGUUACUCAUCAUUACAGUGGAACAAAGGGUUGCUCUCUCCCAUAGACUAGGUCAGUAUUGGACCGAACUGUGUAAACAAAUUUCGUGUGUUCUCUCUUUCUUUCUCUCGCCGUUUUCUACUUUUGCUUGUGUUUAUAAUUGUUCUCACGUUGAUAUUGGUUGCUUGAUUAUUUUUCUCCACACAUCAAGUAUUUUAUUGGUGUGAUUUUCAUCGAAAUCACAAUAAUGUACAAUAUUAGGACAUGCUAAGAUCCAUUGAGGUACCCACCUCAAUAGAACACGUGAAGUUAUACAUGACUCAACCUCCUCCAUGACAAUCUCGCUUGGAUCAAGUACCUCAUAACGACGUACGAGACAUGUUAACGACCUCAACAAGACCACAUAACUACCUCGUUCCAUCUAAGUAACACAUAUGCGCCCCGUCGUCUCAUAACAUAACCAAAAUCUAGAUAGUUAUCAAGUCAUUCAUACAUAUAGGGAACUCACCUGAACCAGAUAGAUACACACAUCUACUUCGAAGGUAGAUACACUCAUAAUUACUUGAUUCGUUCUUACUUAUGGGGGACUCACUUGAGCCAAAUAGGCUUCCUUGCGCCAUCUGGUCGGUUAGUUACUUCAGUAUUCAGAUAAGCUUCAUAACUAACCACUGCUGAAGCUAAGAAGAAAAAAUUGCAACUAACAAGGAUUAUACUAUUAGAUCAACCCCUAUAAAACAGGGAGCCUUAUCCUCUAGGUAUGUUCAACUCUCAAAUUCAUUACUCUACUUUACACUUCAUUUUGUUGUCAUUACACAUAUAUACCGAGUCCAUCUGCUACCAGCUAGCACCUCAUCUAACUUGAGCCCCAUAUUGGCUUUUGAAGACAAUCCACCACACUCUAAAGUGGAGCAAAAAGGCAGAACACAUAACGAGUUGCAUAGUAUACAAUCAUCGGCAGAUGAAGGACGCCCGAUGCUUAGGAGGUAAACCCUGUUGUUCAAAAAAGAACAAUUAAUGAACCAAUUGUCAUGUGUAUGGAUUGUACAUUCCAACAAGACUAUUUAGUUACUCCAUAUACAUUAAUUUUUCAACUACCCUAAUUAUUUACUUCCUUAGAUCACAUUUAUAAGCAGAAAAACAAUUUUUUUAGAUCUAUGUAUCUAGUCUAUAUAAAAACCAAAUACAUUAGACAUUCAAUGAACAUAAAAUAUUGUUUUUUAUAUUUUUAUCUUUGAUACUCAUGCUAUAUUUUUAAUUUAGUUCUUGCACAAGUUGUCGUCGUAGAAAUGGUUGUUAAAAAAAAAAAAAAAGGUUUAUUCUUGUAGCUUACACGACACCGUUUUAUUUUUUAAAAGGUGAUACGACACCGUAUACGAGUUCUUUCUUCUUCUCUGAGGGAUUCAAUUCAUUCAUUACACAUUACUUGGUUAGAUCUCAAAACAAAAGAAACCUUCUCAUCGUUUUCACAUUGUUUUCUUAUUCUCAAUAAGAUCGCUCGUUUUAUUUUACUAAUCAUCAAUGAAUUAUAGAAGGUUCGUUAAUCUCUUCUCUUCUUUCUCUCCAUUUUAAUUACCGCUUAUAUAUUUUUCGAAUUGCAAUGCACAAUCUUCGCGAUUUUGCUUUUAUUUCAUUUAAUUUAAGCGCUUAUUCUAAUAAGCUGCGUUUAGAGAACUUAUGAAAAUGAACAUGUCAUAAUUUGUUUUCAUAACUUCUCCCAAAUAGUGUAGAUAAUGCUUAAAUAAGCCAAUCCAAACAGGCCUUUUGGGUUGUUCUUAGUGAUUGGCUUGUGCUUGUGCCGGUAUAUAAGCUUAAAUAAGUCAUUCUAAGAACCGAAUUGGACAUUGACCAAAAUGAAAUAGUGAUGUAACAACUCAAACAAUGAACCGUAGACAAUGCUGAUUCAAGGUUCAACUGGUUGAAUUGUUUGGUUUGCUUUGGUUUUUAAACAUUGGUUGGAAUAACUAAUUCUGUGUAUCUAUGUGCGUUAUUUAGUAUCAAUCGUGAAAAGAAGUUGAAGAAGAUCAUAUUAAAUCUUAUUUGGUAUUCAAACGAACUUACAAUCAAAAUUUCAGCGAGAUGCAUGUUUUUUUGAAUGAUUGCUUUUUAGGAAGAAGGGAUAAAUUGAUAUGUAUUUUUUCCCUGCGAGAAUUUUUUUUCGGUUUACCAUAGGUUCCCUCCAGUGGAGGAGUCCGGGUUUAUUUCAUUUACUGUCCAUUUACGAGGGAAAUAGACACAAGGGGAAGAUUAGUGGGAUCUAUUAGUGUGGUCCACUUAUGAAUUGGGUCCCACUAAUCUAUUACUUGUGUCUAUCUCUCAUCAAUGGAAUGUAAAUGGUGCGUGAUAGAUGGAACAAAUUCGAGGUGUGUCAGACACUAAAUGUGGUGCCUCUCCCAUCUGAAAUGCGAACCUUGGAUCGCCAAGCUGUAGGAGUCUAGCCCCUUUUGCUAGAUGCAACCCCCAUUGUUUUUUCACCGUGAGAUUUUGAGCAUACAAUAAAUUAAUAAAAUCUAUUUUGAGUCCAAACCUCACGUAUUUUGUAAUUUGAUACUGUGAUUCAGUUCUUAAAUUUGAGAAGGUAUGAGGAAAAAUGGAUGAUUUUAUCGUGGGGUAUGAAAUACUUGCCAACUGGUUAGUGUUUGUUUUACUGUUUUUGAGAAAAAAGUAGUGAAGACUUUAAUAGGGUGACAUGACAAACUUCGAGGUAUUUGUGUUCAAAGAAGAGAAGGAUUUUUUUCUUUCUUUCUGAAAAGUGAAAUCCUCCUCAUUUGUUUAAUGUUUGCUUAAAUUGUAUUUUGUUGUCUUAUGAAUGUUCCAUGGCCUUCCGGCUAUCUAUGUUAUUACUUACUAUAUACCUUUCCGGAAGAUGGUAGAUACCACUAUACAGGUUUUCUAUAAAGGAUAUUAAAAGUAAACCAGGAAAUAAAAAUGUGGUUUUUGAUUCAGUUCGAGAGCCGAGAGCUUGCAGCUGUGAUGGAUUUUUUUUUUUUUUUUUUAUGUCUUGAUGUUAAUUUCCGUAGUUCCUUGUUAUUCAGUAUUUAAAUCAUCUAAAAUCUUGAACUUGUUGCCCUGCAUCAUCAUUUGUGAGUCGAUUUUUACUCUAGAUGUAUUAAACAUUAGAGAAAAAAUAGUUUUAAAUUGAAAAUCAGGAUAAACAUUUGAGUUCAAAUUUCUUAUUAGAUACAUUGCUCUUCAUUUUUAUGUCUUGGUUUUAUACCUUAUGCAUUGAGUUAUUUCAAUUUCAAAUUGUCGCUGUAAUGUUUUCUGCAAACUUGGUUUGUCUUGACACAUUUAUAUACGGAAUCUGUAGAAUCAUUAUCUGGAGGGAAUCAGUAGAGGAAAAUUCAAUGGUUUAGUUCUACCAAAUCGGGUUAUAGACAAUUGUUUGCUAACUUUUUGUAUGCUAUCGUAUGGCAUGUAAAGCAUUUUAUUUCCCAACUCUCAGCCCUAUCAUGAGCCUAAUGCGAAAGUUUCUUUUUUAUUAAAUACAUUUUACUUCAGGACAAGAGGACUUUUGUAGUACUGCCACUGCAUCUUAAUUUUUUCUUGUUAAAUCUGCGGUUGCAAAUCCAGAAUUCAUUUCGAUUCAAAUUUUUUUCUGAUGAAUAUUAUCAUUGUUUUCAAUUUAUUCAGGAAGUUGUCAAUCUAGUUUACAUUAUCAUUAAUAAUUCAUUUUGGUUUUUUAAUUCAAGCCACCAUGAGCAUGAUUGAAUGUUUGGAAUUCAAACCAUUGAGAACCAACUUGAGUUAAAAGUUUACCACUAAUUUUAUUACUUUUCACUUGUCUUUGUCAUCGGCUAGAAAACUUCGUUUUGUUUUUCUAGUUAUUUUUGCUGAAAAUGGUUUCCUUGUAUAUCAACUAUUAAAGCCGUUUGAUUUUCAAAAACAGAGAUAACCGGUCAUCCAGAUCAUCACUUUUAGAUGGUCUUGAUAGUCUGGAGGAGGGUGGUUUAAGGGCUUCUUCGUCUUACUCAUCUGAAAUAAAUGAGCAUGAUAAUGAUAAUGCCAUAGACACUCUGCACGACAGAGUUUCUUUUCUAAAGCGAGUAAGUUCCUUUUCUAAAGCAAGUAAGUUUUGUUUAUUUAAGUACUAAAUCUCUUGUAUGUAUCGAUUAAUUUCUUAUCUUAACAUCUGGAUGUAUGAAUUCGCAAUUAUUAAAUCUACACUUUAGUACAUGGAAGGUUCUGAUAGUCUUGAGAUUAUUAUGUUCGGUGUUCCUAUUAUUGUUUAAAGUUGGUUAUACGUUGUGCAUGUAUAUUGUUUAACUUGUUUAUAAAUAAUGAAAUUUUGUUUCCGAUCACUUGCUGAAAUAUUGGUACGAAAUUGUUUGCUCUGUUUCUUAUUUAUUUGGUGUAUUAAAAAACAAACGCGUUAGUUUUUCAUUUUUUAAUUUGAAUUUUUGGUUUGGAUCACUUGUUGAAAUAUUGGUAAGAAAUUGUUUGCCCUAUUUAUAAUUUUCUGUAUUCCUUAUUUUUAGGACAAAUAUUUUGCUGUAUUUUAAAAACAAAUUUGCUUUUUUAAAUUUUUAACGGGCAUCAAUGUAUUUGUAGAUAAAAGGCCAUCAAAAGGCAUUGAGAAUUAAUUUUUACUGCAGGUCUGAAAAUGCUUGUAAUUUGUUUAUCAAGAUUCUAUGUGCACAUGGUUUAUAAUUUGCUAUUUGCUGGUGAUAUCUUAUUCAAAAUGAAAAUAUCUUGCCAUGUCGCAACUGGCAGGCUAUUUAUAUUUAUUAAUAUAAACGUGUCCAUGUGCACAAGACAUAUGAAACAUUGGUAAAUAACUAAAUUUAACAUAUAUCAGAAAUUAUGUAGCCUAUUGGUUUACAGAGCAUAGUUUUCUAAUUACUUAUUUACAAUUUUGUCGAUGAAAUCAUUAAAAGGAAAAAGCCUCAUCUAUUGACUUUUAAUAUUUACUUGAUCAACAGUUGACAGGUGAUAUACAUGAGGAGGUUGAGAGUCAUAACAGUAUGCUCGAUCGGGUGGUAUGUAAAUUACAUACCGUCUGUUUUUCUGAAAAACUGUCUUCUCUCUUUUCUAAUAAUUAUAUUCCAUUGUGAAUUAAUUAGGGUAACAAAAUGGAUGGAUCAAGGGGCAUGAUGUUGGGAACCAUGGAUCGAUUCAAGAAGGUAACAAUUUUACUUCUCAACGUGCCUCAUUUUAUUUGCUUUUACUUACCACAAUAUCGUAAAAUGAUUUAGUGUAUAGAAACUGAAUUUUGUAGGUUUUUGAGAAGAAAUCAACAAGGAAAACAUGCUCACUUGUGGGUUAUUUCACACUUGCCUUCAUAUUCAUAUACUACCUUAUUAGGUAAAUGAUUCCAUAAUCCAUCCCCUUUAUGCUUUGAGACGACUGAAGUUAAUGCCUAUAGUGACAAAAAAUCUUAGAACCUGUCUGCAAUGAUAUUAACAUAUGUGUGUAUGCGGACCGAGAUCGACUGCAAUCGGCAAUUUUCUGCGUUCACGCAGUCAUGUGUUCUCGGCCAUCUGAUCAAUGGCCAGGUGUCGUGAUUUAACAUCAGUAUUUUUGGAAUUAUGAAAUAAAAGUGACUGCUUUAAAAAACUGAGUGCAUCAAAUUUGAUUUCGUGUGUACACAAUUCUAUAAAACACUGACACAGUUACGGACCUCAGACACUAUAUUGACACUGACAUGUAGACACAUGCAAUAAUUUAAGAAAAUGGAAAUGAUUGAAUGUAACCACAUGUGUCAGUAUCGUGUUGGUGUCAAACACCGGACACACCUUUGUUCUACAGUGUCUGGUAGUACUUCAUAUAUACACCUUUGUUAAGCUUUAUAUAUGCAGUAAGAUUGAAGAUUAAUCAAACUAUAAAGAGGCAUUGUAUUCCCCCUUCUCUUUUCCCCUUUUUUCUGAUAAUCAUGGUUAAGCCGGUAAGUUUCAUAUUGAAGUUAAGUAGCCACUGAAUACAGCUGUUGAUUCAUCUCUGUUGAUAUUAACUAAUCGACUAGUAUUUUGUAAUCUUUGAUCAUGUUCACUGGAAACCUUGUAGUGAAUAAUAAUAAAUUGUGUUGGAUAUUUACAAUUCAUUGAUUCAAACUUACAUGCUUUGCAGGAUGCUUGGAUAUUUUACACUAGGAUGAUGCCCAUUUUAUAAAGCUAGAUUGAAUGAUGGUCGUUUGGAAGUAAAUUCCUGUUCCUGUGCUGUGAAAUGUUCGGAACCGUUGGCAUGUGGUUUGAAACUCAAUUGUGAAUUUUGAAACUUACUGCAUAUAUAAAGCUUAACAAAAGUCUAUUGUUUACUUCCCGUCCUCACAUGGUCAUGUAUCAUUAUCUUACAGGGGGCACUAUAGUUUUAAAUUAAUUUUUUUAUGUAAAUUCUAGCAAUAUGAAGUGAUUUAUUUGUUUGGCAGUAAUUGUAAGUGUUAUGAAACUAACACUUCCCAAACACACCAUUGUCAUGGAUCCCAGAUAAGCUGGAAUCACAUGGACACUGUUUUGUAUCUAAACAUUGUGCAUGUCAAUAAACUUUUGUAGGAUGAUGGAUAUUUGCGAUCACAUGAACACUGUUUUGUAUCUAAACAUCAUACAUGUCUUAUAUACAUUUGGUGGAUAUGGUGUGCAAAUAACCAUGAGUUUUAAAUCUAUUUAUAUCUUAAUACAAAUAUGGAUCUAUUCUUUUGAUCCUUGCAUACAUAGUUUUACACAAUUUUAUUUUGAUUCCCAAAUGAAACCCAAAAUUGUCAUAAUGGAAUUAUAGUUGCUUUAAGAAGCUAAUGAUCCUUAAUAAUGUGUACGUAGUGAAACUGGCCUGGCAUAUUCUUACUAGUCCUUACGAAUUGUGGGUGAAAGUGAUGAAGGCCAAACAUGGUUGUGGCACUUGUACUAUUCCUGUAUAAUCAUAAAGAAGCUUCUACUAGCACUUGGAGAGCAAUAACGUAUGCUUAGGAUGAUGGUAAAUGCAUUUGCAUAGUUCGUGAUGUUCUCGAUACAAAAUUCUGGAAAGAUUCUUGCCUUAAAAGCAUUAGUUGCACUGCUUAAGCUGUUAGCAAUACCAUCCCAGCCAGAGUGCUUUAUUUCCAGAUUUUUUUACAUGAUUGCUUAUGUUAAACCUCCCAGCCUCUCGAAUUUCCUACGAAGGCAAGGGAAAAUACUUGGGUGACUUUGUCACUAUCUCCCUCCUAGCCAAUCAUUCAUAUAUCAUCCUCUCAUCAAAAGUUACCAACAUCACCAAAACUUGAAUGACGGGGCGUCUACGUGACAAAUGACCCCACAAAAAUGAUUUAAUAAAUUAUAAAACUAAUAAAAAAAGAGCAUUGCUAUAUACUGUCAGAGAUAUCUUGUGAAGACACCACAAUUAAAAAACAGAUCAAUAAAAAAACAUGGUGCUUCAGUGCAAUACAAGUGAGUAAAUACAUGCAGUAUUCCUCUCGACGUAAAUUCUAUCACGAUAAGUAGCGUUUCCGAUGAAAAAUGCGAGGCUUACAAACAAAAAUAGUUAUUAUCUAUAGAUAUAUAAUUGCCAUAAUACCAAUAAUCGAUUGUGGCUAUUUGAAACACCUAUAGUACGUGUUUUUAAACACCUAAAGUAAUAGUUGCAUUCAAAUUUUAAAUUAGGAUGAAAAAAAAAAGGAACCAUAAAACUAAAACUAUAUCACUGCCUGGCUCCAUCCUGCAUGCCUGUGUUUUCCUAUAUCUCACAAAUCAUUGUUUUUCUUUAUAUAUAGCAAAGUUACAUUGCAAUCCUUGGCCUUCUGAAUUCUUUGUCAACAAGGAUGUAUACAUGUCGAAGUUUGUUAUUGUCGAAGUUUUCGUCUCUUCAUUGUUCUUCUCUUUCUGGAAAGUACAACUCUGAGAGAAUAUAACGAACAGUUAGAAAAAGAGAAAAGGAAGAAACAUGCUGUGUUGAUAGAGAGAUAUGAAAUGAAAGAGAUUGGUUUAUAUAUAAGGGACACAUUUUUGCCCGUGCGUCUUGUUUAUGCAACCCAAAUACGUGUUUUGGCCGGUGAUUACCCUUUUCUUUGACUUACCCUUUGUCCCCAUUUUGAGUAAGACACAAAACUAUUCAUUCUAGAACUUUGUAUUCUUGCUUUAUUUGUGGAUUUCACCUACAAAGUUUAGACUGAGACACAAACAUCAAACACGACAGAACACGUCAACAUCGAUAAUAAUUUAAAAAAUGAUAUAUAACUUAAUGUAAUCAUAUAUGCCAGUGUUGUAUUAGAGUCGAACACGAUAAAUAUCUAACAUUAGGGCACAUCUAAUUCUAUGAGUAUUUGUGUUUCACAAGGUUUCACAUGCUAUCCUACGUGGUGAGACUAUAUUUGAGAAUUAUAAGCAUGGUUACCUCUUUUGAUAAUGAAUAUAUUAUUUUAUUGGAUAAAUAACUCGGAUUAAUGUUGUAGUGCUUGCUCUGUAAUCGUAAAUUUCUACAACGGUAUGCCGGUGGAUUUUUUAUGCAGCUUUUGGCCGGUCAUUUCCGACAAAAGUAGUGUCAAAUACUCCAUCUUUUCUUAAGAUAAAUUAAUCAAUAAAAAUUGAUUUAUUUGAUUCAUAAUAAGAAUGUAAUACAUUAACUUUAAUUGAUCCAUUUGUUACUUAUAAAAAAGGAGAUAUAGUAUAUGAUAUCGAUAAUGGUUUAAUGAUUAAAAUGUGAUUAAUUUAAUUAAAAUUGUAGUUAAUGAAACUAAAUAAUUAAACAUAAUUUUCAAAAUAAUUUAGUUUAACCAUAUAGUUGAAUUAACUAUAUUUUGCACGUGAUUGAUCGGGUAUCGCAUAUGUAAGGAAAAAUGGAUGGCCAUGAAACAUGUUUUGAUAUGAUAUAUCUUAACAUUUCACAUAUGGUAAAAAAAUUGUAUAAAUAAAAGAGAGAAUAUAAUUUUACAAUAUUAUCUUUAUCAUAAAAUAGAUAGAUAUGUAUAUAAACGAAAUUCGUUCACAAUAAAUCAAAAGUAUGAAGAUGAGAGAGAUUAUAAAGAGAGAACUCCAGGGGCACACAAGACAAAAAGGUUUUUGAUGGGGGAAUGGGUCCAUGGAGACUAAUUAAAUAGGUUUCACUGUGAAACAACAACGAUUUGGUUACUUCUAGUUUAGACAAAAUCACAACUCUCUUCUUUUUUACAAAAUUUUCGGAUCAUGCAACCCUUUUUGACCUCUCGAAGUUGUUCGCACGUUUUGGACAUCGUCGAUUUGGGUUCGUAAAAUUUAAAGAAGUCAGGGAUGAAUAAGAUCUGGAAAGAAGGCUUAAGGAGGUCAGUUUAUGAAAACACGAAGCUAAGAGUAAACCACGCUCCCUUUGGUAAAGAUGAAGGAAAUGGAAAAGAACAGAAGAAUGAGGAAAGAAAUGUGGAUUAUGGGUGUACAAUGGUGGGGGAAAAUUCCCUUAAAGAGGAGGGUGACGAAUGAGACAGGAGGAAGAGGAGGAUAUCUGAUGACCGGGCCAAGUUUGGAUGUUCAUUCGAGAUCAAUGAUGUUAGAUGAGCUAUAAGAUUGCUUCGUGGUGGUGUUAGCUUUUAACAUAUAAGGUAAAACUGUCUAAGACAUUUUGGUUUUGGAAGGAUUAAUAAGUAUGAGAGCAAUAUAAAUGGGGGAAGAUAUGGUAUUGUUGAAACCCUUGGUACCAAGAGAUAUCGAGAGAGCACAAUUGCACACAAGCAAUGGUGGGAUACUACUUUCUCUUCGGUUCGAUGAUGGUCUCCUCAAAUGGUGUCAACAAGAAGAAAGGCUUGGCUAAUUAUGUAUGUGAUCCCACUUCAUUUGUGGGAUGAAGGUUUUUUAAAUUUCUAGGGUCUAAGUUUGGUACUUUUUUUGAUUUUGAUGAAGCUAUGAUAUAACUAAGAAGAUUGGAUAUGGCACAGGUACAUGUUAGUAUAGGAAGAAUGUGGCUGAUUGAUGAAUUUCUAAGGAUGAAAGUGGUGGGUGAAGUGUUUAAUCCGUGGGUGGUGGAGGAAUGGAGGAGUUUGGAGGUUAAUAGGGUGGAGGUUCAUACUGGAGGUGAGUUUGAUGGUGGUGGUGCCGCCUAUGUUGAUGGUGGUGUGGAGGGGAUAAGGAAUUAGAGGUUUCAUGUGAGAGUGAUGGAAUCCUAGGCUCUUAUGAUUUCGUACAACUAGGGGAACAUGGAAAAAAUCGUAGGUUUUGGACAAUCAAUGUUGUCAUGGGGCAAAAGGUAGGGAUGGAUGUGACCUUCUUGUUUGCAGAUAUGACGAGAACACCGAUAAGUUAGAGGGGGCGAAUAACUUUUCCCUUUUUUCUAAAACUUUUUCGAAAGCGUAGUUUUGUAAAUUUUGAAAUCAAAUUACUAUAUAGAAUUAUGCAAUAUCUUCAAUGAUAUUAGAAUAAGAAAUGAUACACUAAUUUAAAUUAGAAUGAGGUAUCCCCUCUUGAACUGUAAUUUAUCAAUAAAUUAUUAAUACACACUAUAAUCCACAAAACCAAAAACUAUUUCAAACCAAACGUAAUCUUAAACAAGAAAUCAAUAUCACAAUAAACUAACAACUUUGAUAUAUGUGAUGAGAUAAUCAACUAGUUAAUCUCUAAUAUGAAAGGUGAUUGAUUUAAUAGUUCAAUAAUGUUCUUGACAAAUGGAUUUUAGAAAUUAUUCAAUCACAAACCAUAUAGAAAUUAACCUAGUUAAUCAACAUCAUAUAUCAAAGUAAAUUUGGAGAAAUUAAAGUGUAAAGGAAAAGAGAACGCCAAACUUAUAAAGGUUCCCAUAUCGCCCUCGCUAAGGGUACAUCCUCUCUUCGUAGAAGAAAAUGUCUUUUCUAUGAACUUCAACUAGAAUGUCGAAAGUGUUUACUAUAAUGAAUUACAAGGUUCCUUCAAUUUACGAAUCACGCACGAUCCUAAAUCUUCUACACUAUGAAGCCACUCAAAUGCCUCCAAUCUUUAAGCCCGUUGAAAUUGGAUGAAUCCCAAGGUCUUCGGAUCGAGAUAGCAUGCAAUCCUUCGACCUUCCUGACCAAGGAAUCUUCUAUGCUAUGACAAUUAAAGAUCAUACAUGAUAGCCAUAUGUGCUUAUUUUUGCAUAAAGUUAUACAAUAGAUACAAUUAUGGCUUAUUUGUGCCUAAAGGUCAAGAAACAUUACUACAACCAGAAAAAUUGAAAAUAAAUAAGAAACUUAAAUCAUAACUGAAUAAAGAAAUUACAUUAAUGAAUUCGAACAAAUAAACAAAGUUUCAUCUUAGAAUCCUAAUCAGAGGAAGUUUACUUGCUCAUGGCAAUAGAAAACAUAAACAAGAAAGAAUUACAAAACAUACUCUAAAGGGAGAAAAUUGGAUGAAACCAUAUCUUCCUCAUCCUUGAUGAUAGACCUACUCCUUGCCUUCACACCUUGCACCAUCUGGUUUAUGAAUGAAUAAAGUGUUUGUAAGGGGUCUCCAUAUACAUGCAAGUUUUGAACUAGGUUGUUGGGCUUCCUCCACAGUUUCUAGCUUGAAAAAUAAGUCAGAAGGUGUUGGGUGUCUGCUGAGGUGCAUGGGAUAGAUGAAAAGUUGCAUUCAGGAAGUGCCAUGCGCCUGGGGCGCAUGAGUUACAUCAUGGCGAGCAUGGGGCCGAAUCUUUGCCAAAAAAUGUUGUUUUUCUUUGUACUUUGAGUGAUUUGCUUUCAUGGUUUCAUCUUGGGACCUGGAACAUUAUUUUCCCACACUAUAUUAUCUUUAAAACCCUUCUUAAACUCCUUUGUUCUUCAUUCUUUUUCGUCCAUAACUCCUUUGGGAUGUCUUAAGAUGCCGAUUUACAUGAUAUCUCACUAAGAUGACUAAAAAUGAAAACAAUGCAUAAUGUUCCAUAAACCAUAAUCAACUAAAACAUUUCUAAAAUGACAUGAAACUCUACUAAAACGACUCAAAAACACAACUAAAAUAUCAUAAAGUAUCUUACCAUUAGUGUUCCUAAACCUUCAUUGGUUAGGGGUCACCUAACACAAUAGGGAGCACUAUUCAUUGAAGAGAUUUAGUGACAAGUACAAACCCCUUAUAUUCAAUAGCACUGUUUCAUAGUUUGUAGUUACUCAAAUAUUUAAGGGAAGGAAAUCUAUAUGACCUAGUCACUCUCUCACUCUUUGAAGGAAUCAAAACUAAUCAUAUUGUCAAGUGCAAACCCCUUAUUUUACUUUAAAUACCCUAAUCAUAAUCGUAGUGAUCAAGUUGAAACUUCAUAAUCCAUAUGGAGAUGAACUUUUAUAAAUAUUACUACUUGUUGACACACUAGUACACUUACUGUAUUUUGUCAUGACUUUGUUUCGAUUGUAUUCAACAUUCUACACAUCAUGAAAACACAAAUUAAAGAGCAAAUCAUUCAUUCUCUUAUAUUCUUUGUCACCAUAAAAAAUGAAAAUUAGAGGUCACUAUUCUUCUAACCAACUUGAUUCUAACAUACUAGUCCUUAGAGCUUUGAUUCCAUGCAACUUACCUCUUCGUUUAUACACACAUGAAAAAACCCUGUAUUCAAAGCACAUUCUCUUAGAAACCAUUGAUAAGUUAUUGCAUCUUUGAUUUUAAGAAACUUUCACAAUUGUUUAAAUAAAGACUUCUGAUUUUCAACUUCAACAAUUGAAAUACCUUGAUCUUCAUAUUGCAAAUAGACCUUGUUAGUAGUAUUCUCCACCAACUUUUGAAUUUUAACCUCUAGUGCUCCAUACACCUCCCUAUUCAUCUCUUUUAUUAUACCUGUGAAGGACUAGUUCCUCCACGUAUCUUCUACAACAAUUAUUCUUGAGCUAAUGAUUGUUAGAAGGAAACAGUUUCAGACCUCAAUCUUUCGAAUUAUACUUGUUUGUAAGACAAUUAUACUAGAGAGUAGAUUCUCUUCACUGAAAAUAUCUCAUACAUGUUUUUUCCUAUUAAUAAAAAGAUAUUUAAAUAUGUAAACUUAAUAAAAAGGGUGAAUAAAUAAAAUAAAAAAAUGGUCUAGGCUGGGCUGACUCAUGGUCCACAUGAAUCAGGCCGGGCUCUAAAAUAUGAGACUCAGUUAUAAACGGGUUUGGCUAAGCUGAUCCAUUUAUCUAGCCAGGCCGACUGGGCUAGGUUAGCCCAUUUGACAGCACUAGACUUAUACUCAACAACAUAUUAAAUUAUCAAUUUCAGAUAAUUUCAAUGUAUUUUGAAUUUAAAUCAUCUUUAGAAACUGUAAAUCUUAACUAGUACUUUUUUUUACAAAAAUAAAUGAUAUUCAUUUAUUCAAAUUGAUAAAAUACAUAAAUACAAUACAAACUCAAAAUUGAGAAAAACAAAAUGGGUGAAUUUGCAAACAAACUCAAGACAUCCAUGUUAAUAGCAUAAAACGGUAAAGUCAAAUGUCUGAAAUACCUAUGUCUCCAAAUCUAUAACUUUGAAGACUUCAAAGUCAUUGAUUAAAUCUCCAUUUGAUCAAAGUUAAUCCUUCAACCUAAAUCAAAUAAAAACCUCACUAAUAUAUGAAAUUAAAAACACACUGCACAAAAACGGAAAAUCAAAACUACGAACAAUGUGACCAAAUCAUAAAAACGUACGAAAGAAGAUUGAAAAUAUGUGGAAACCACCUAUUUAACUAAAAGAAAAAGAAAAACAAUUUUAAGAGAUGAUUUUGGGAAAAAAUUGACUUGUAACCGUCCCUUUUAAUUUUCGUAGAUAAAAAGAAGAAAAGAAUGGUGACAACAAGGAUUCAAUAAAGUUCAUAAUUUGGAGCAAUUAAUUUUUAUGGCAAAUUAUUCUUUCUUCUUUUUGAAAAUUUGUUUCAAUGGAGAGCUACAAAUGCAGGACAUUGGCUAUAAUCAUACUCAUGUGUUUGUGAUGUUGGAAAGGGGGAUUUGUGAGGGAGGUUUUGACAGAGGACAAAUGGUAUUAAAUUAGUACUUAAUACUUAUAUUCUGCUUCCAAUUUGGACUAUAAAAAAUAAGUUAGAAAGGUAAACUUUCACCAUUUUAAAUAUGUUAUACCUGUUUAUUUAGUUUUAUAGAAGAAAAAAAGUCCACUUAGUCAAUUAUUUAAACUUAUACACAUAUGUAUGUGUAUGUGUACGAGUACGUACUGAAUGGAUAGGUUGAUAAGAAUUACUCCUCAAAUCAAACGUUGAUGCAUUAAUAUAGUGACCCGAGAAAAUGACGUGCUCCCACCUGGCAACUUGCACGCUACCCCACAAAACCCUAAUUUCAAAUAAUCUCCAAAAGGAAGAGCUUUAUUUUUUAUUUUUUUAUAUAAAAAAGGCAAAGCUUGUUGAAACUUGUAUUGUAUGCUCAUGUUGCCAUUGUUACAAAUUACUCCCUCCGUCUUUAUAUAUAAGAUCCUUUUGCCAAAAUCACGGGAAUUAAGAUAGUGGAUAUUUGUAUUCAAGUUGUUUGUAAUCACUAUUGUUUUUACAAUUUUAUCCUUUAAGAAAGAAGGUUAGUUUAUGUUUUCAACAUGUUAUUUAUUGUUGAUUGAAGAAAAAGAUGUAUAAUAAAUAGGGGCAUAUAUGUAAAGAAAUAACUAAUGUAGUUGGAAAUAACAAAGGGGUCUUAUAAAAAGGGACAAAAAAAAUUAUCAAAAGAGUCUUAUAAUUAGGGACGGAGGGAGUAUUAUAUAAUUUCAUAAACAAGAAAGCAAAGGAAGAAAAAACACAAUCAAAGAGUGAAAUUAGAGUAAAGUACAUAAAAAGCUAUAAUCGUACACAAGAAGGAUAAACUCUCUGGCACAAGAAUUACACACUUAUAAAAAAUAAAAAAUACAAGGUUGAAAGAGAUUUUUUUUUUAAUAAUGUAUAAUUUUAAACAAUUAAAUUAUAUGUAUCUCUAUGUAUGUGUCCAAAAUCUUGUGACUAUAAAGAGAAAAAUACAGACAUUUUAAAAACAUUAUAAGAAACUCUUUUAUGAAAAAUUAGAAUUUUAAAUAUGUAAUGAAUUAAAUAUAAAUUUUUUCGAACGCCAAAAUUUUAAGAUAAAACUAAUGAAAAGUUUGAGCUAAAUUUUUGCAAAGGAAUUUUUUUAUUAUGAUUUAUACAAGAUUUUAAAAAAUCAUUCAAAAAUUUAAAAAUGUAAGCGUAAUUAAAUAAAUUUUAAUUUAAAAGGGACUAAAUCUAUUUGUUGAAAUUUUUGAUAGGGAUCAAAACAUGUAAAAAAAAUUCAUGAGGACCAAAAACGAAAUUGACUAUAUUUAUAGGGAACAAAAACUUAUUUAACCCAAUAAAAACUAUAGUGGAAGUCGAAGUUGCCACAAAUAAUAUGAAAGUAGAAGCUAAAGUGCUUAUUUCAAUAAAUUGAAGUGGAAUGUACCACUGCAACUAUUGGGUCUAGUUACGUGACUGCUGUUGGAUCUGGUUUGGUCAGUUCUGUGUAGCUUAUUCAGGUGGUGCGCGCGCCUGUUGCAGGUGCACCACCUCCUGAAUGGGUUGCGCCGUUGAGUCGGUAUUCAUACAGUGGUGGUUUUUACAUCGCCUCUUGGAUGGCUCUGUUUGUGUUUUAUUUUCCAGUUCUGUUUUUCGUUUUCAAUUCUGUUUCACGGUUGUUUCUGUUGUGUGGUGGUGAUGUGAUGAUGGUGGUGAUGCAUGGUGGUGGUCGUGAUGCGUGGUGGUGGUGGUGAUUCGGUUGGGGUGGUGAUGGUGAGACAGUGGUGGUGUGGGCUGUUUCACUGUUGUUUCUGUUGUGUGGUGAUGCGUGGUGGUGGUAGUGACUCAGUUGAGGUGGUGGUGGCGGCUUUGUGUGGUAGUGCUUAAUGUCCAUUAUCGUCGUCACUAGCUCCUUUGUGAGUUUUUGUGUUGUUAAGGUGUUUAGUGUGGUUAAGGUGUUUAGGCUUUUUUUUGCGUUCUUUCGGUAGAUUGGAGGUUGAGAGGUGGUGGAAGCUGAAUGAUCUUUGGAAUAGGAGCUUUUCGGAUGUGGCUCAACUUUGGUGAUGGUGACUGAAAGUUUCUUUUAGAGGGGUGUUCUUUUGGAGUGAGUAGGGACGAUGAAUGGUUAUGGAUAUCAUUUUUUGAGUGGUCGUUUUCGUGAAAGAGUCUGUUUUAGGUGAUGAUGUUUAUUUUGGUGGGUGUUGAAAGUAGGGUAUGACUAGAUGUUGUGUGUAGGGGUGUCUUUUAUGAUGUUUAUUUUCGGGUGUUUAUUUUUAGUUGUUCCCCCUAUUUUCGGGUGUUCGUCUUGAGCGGAGAUUUGGUUGUUAAAUAAAAUUUGAUGUUAAAAAAAUACUAAUAAUAAUAAAAGAGAACACUUCCUAAUAAUCGUGUGAUCAACCAUCACUACUAGCUAGUAGUCCUUUUGCAUCUUAUGAUGAAACCAUCUCUUUUACUUAAUUAAUAAAUAAUUAAUCUCACUUUCAUAUCAUACACACAAACACUCCUUUACUUGAUUCCCCCCGAGUCAUUGAAUCUAAUUCCUCACCUCUAACUUCUAAGCACCUCUCUUUAGUCUUUCCUUUCUCUUCUCUCUCUUUUAAUUUAUCUGUAUAACUAUUAGCUAGUGAAAGAGCAUCUAUGUAUUUCAUAUAAUUUGUUUUUAGGGAAUUGAUAGACACAAGAACAAACCCUUGUUUUUCUAAUAUCAUGAGUUGUUAAGGUUUGACUUUCCUUAUCUCCUAAAAUCAAAAUAGACAAAACAAAAAACUUCUAUUUGCCAAAUUUUUCCCAGCAAGUUGCAAGAAGAAGCUGCAGUCCAAUAUAGAAUAAGUCAAUUGCUUUCUGUAAGAAGAAACUUUGAAUUUUUCUUAUAUAAACAAUAAUUUCAUCAUCUUAUUUUCUUUACUUCACCUGAAAAGCAAAAGAAAAAUUCUCAUCAGAGCAAAAAUUCUGGUAUUGUUAUUUUCUUACCUUUAUAUUUUGGGUUUGAGUAUCUUUUGUAUUUUCCGUAAAAAAACAACAGAAGUUCUGGCUAAUCCGUGGUGGACAGGACAUCAGGUAGGAUUACCUGGGGUGGUGGAUCAUCCCCACCACCCGUCAGGUAAUCCACCUGGUUUUAUGAACAAACGUCCCCACACCGAACUUUUCAUCAACGAAACCAAAAGAAGAGAAGAAGAAGAAGAAGACGAUGAAGAAAGAGACGACGAUGAACCAAAAGAAGGUGCAGUUGAAAUUGGAAACCGAAGACCAAGAGGAAGACCACCCGGUUCAAAAAACAAACCAAAACCACCAAUCUUCGUAACAAGAGACAGUCCAAAUUCACUGAAAAGCCAUGUGAUGGAAGUAUCCUCCGGAGCAGAUGUAGCCGAAAGUGUAGCCCAGUUUGCAAGAAGGCGACAACGCGGGGUUUGUGUUCUAAGCGGUAGUGGAUCAGUUGCAAAUGUUACCCUUAGACAACCUGCAGCACCAGGAGCUGUUGUAGCACUUCAUGGAAGGUUUGAUAUUCUAUCAUUAACCGGAGCUUUUCUACCAGGACCUGCUCCUCCAGGCGCAACCGGACUCACAGUGUACUUAGCCGGUGGACAAGGGCAAGUUGUUGGUGGAAGUGUUGUUGGACCUUUGAUUGCUGCUGGACCUGUUAUGGUUAUUGCUGCUACUUUUGCUAAUGCUACCUAUGAAAGAUUGCCACUUGAAGAAGAUGAGGAAGACGGUGGUGGUGGUGGGGUCCAUGGAGGACAUCAGGUUGCUGGUGGUGGUGGUAAUUCCUCUCCUCCUGGAAUUGGAAGUAGUGGCGGUGGCGGUGGCGGGGGCCACAUGCAGUCUAGCCAUCUUCCAGAUCCAUCUUCUAUGCCUUUGUAUAAUUUGCCACCAAAUCUUCUUCCUAAUGGUGGUCAUGUGGGACAUGAAGCUUUUCCAUGGCCUCAUGGAAUUAGGCCACCCUACUGAAAAAAUAUGAGAUGAUUACAAUUUAUAAGAAAUUGAAGAAAGGAGUUACCAAGUGUUUUUAGAGUAAUGGAAUAAAUAUAUAUGUAGUAUUAUAGUGUUUGUGAUGAAAAUGUGAUGAGAAUUGAGAAGUGAGAAGAGGAAGAAAUGUUAUUAUAUAUAAUUUUAUCACUCUCUAUGUAUGUGUAUAUGAUUAUUAAGUAAGAACUUUCUGUGUGUUUCCUUUUUAGUUGUGUUUUGGAAUAAAAAAGAUGAUGAUGGGUUUUUUUUGUUUUUUAAUUGAUUUCUGAUGAAUUGAUUAUCAUGUUUAUAUUCUCCAUGAUCAAGUAUUUUUUUACUCUUUGUUGCUUUGUUUUUUAAUUGUAUUAUUAUUUUAUUGAUGAAUUUGUUAGGGAUUGAAUACAUGCUGGAAUUAUUUUUCAUAAGACUUUGGAGAUAUGAAGUUUAAGCUUGUUUUGUUGGACUUGCUUAAAUAUAGUUUCUUCUAUCAAUCAUUACUAGCUUUUUUUUAUUUUUUAUUUUUUUUGAUGGAAAGGAAAAUGUAAUAGAAUAGAAAAGAUUCAUAAGUGAUUAGUUUCUCAUACAAUUUUCCCCAUAAAACUUAUCUAAGAAAUUUUAUUUUUAUAUUUUAAGGCAUUAGCAGAACUGAUUCUUAGGGUUUGUGAAUUUAAGCUUUGCUAGUGUGAAUGCAAAACAUGAUGAAAGCAAGUAGGGCUAUUUUGCUUUUUCUUAUUCUCUUCUUCUCUUUCUCUCUCUCACACACAGCUAUAUCUCUCUGCUUCUGUCUGCUCAUUAUAUUAUUUGAAUCCACCUUAGCAGCAGUUUACUGCUUAGUUAAUAAAAGUAUCUCUAAUAAAAAAUUGUUCAUGAAUAAAAUUAUAUUUUAUAUAUAAAAUAAACUCAUGUAAUUCUAGUUUACAAAUUUUGGUCUACUAUCUAUACUUAAAUGAAUCAAAUCUAAGGAUACUAGGGUUGUUUGCAACUAGUUAGAGAAAUUAAACCUCUUUCAUAUAGUUGCUUAGUAUAAAAUAUGUUCCACUUUCAAAGAGAAACUUGAAUUACAAUAUACUUUUCUCUUAUCUUAAAAUAUCCAUUCUACUCUAAAAAGUAAAAACAUUACAUUCAAUCUAUUAUAUCAUCUUUCUUGACUUAAAUUUUAGAGGGUGACAUAUUAUAAAGAACAACGGACAAGAAAUGACAAUUAUCGAGAUUUGAUUGCUAAACCGUUCACUCGUAAAACACUUAUGGAGUAAUCAAAUAUGUGAGUAAGCAAUCAUAUUUGAUGUCAUAAACACUUUUGGAUCUAUCACCUCAAUGUUAAAUCUACCAAAGAGAAUAAAAUUUUGUGGGAUGACAUGACACAUUUUCCCUAAGUUAAUCAAAGAGAAGAGAUACAUAGGAGUUAGAAAGAUGUUGUAGUGUAGGUUUAAACUUCAUUAACUCACUGCCAAAUAAGAACUUAUCAUUUUUUUUGGUGGUUGGGAUUCGAACCCCAGACCUUGCAUAUAUUAUACAUUGUCCAUACCAACUGAAUUAAGCUCACGGGGACAUAAGAAUUUUUUAUUUUUUUUUAUAACUAGAAGAACUUAUCAUUUGUUAUCCAACAAAAAGAGUUUAAGAAAUAUAUAAUAUUAUAGUAUACAAGUUGCUUAGUAAGAAAAAUAGUAGAAGAGACAAGAGACUAAACAAAGUAUCAAAUGUGGACCAACAAUUUUUAGUAAAAUCAUGUGUUUUGAACAUAGCGAAAGGGAGUGAUAUUUUACUCAAAACUGUGGAGAUCUGCAAAAUGUAUACCUUUUUUUUUUUUUUUUGACAAAAGGAUGCAAAAUAUAUACUUGAAACUGCAAAUCAUGUGGACCAACAAUUUUUAGUAAAAUCAAGUGUUAUGUCCAUAUUAGAUAUAACUGCAAAAUAUACUUGAAAAAUAACUAAAGAUAAUCAACUUUAGGUUUAUUUUUUUUUUGAAGCAAACUUUAGGUUUAUUUAAGAACAAAUAAUUAACUUUAAUUUGGGAUGGCCGUACAUAAAAUAAUAUUUUUUUUGUCUAACCGUACAUAAAAUAUUUUGAGUGAGCUCCCAAGAAAGUACAGCCUCAAGUUUUGAAAUAACCAACAUAAGGAAAAACAUACAGUCAAAUCUGGUUGGAGGAGACAAAAUGUGCUGACUUUAUUUAUGUUUAUGAGUAAGCAAUACUAAUCAUAAAUAAGGAAUAAUUACGUUGGAAAUUUGGAAUUAUGUACAUCAAAUCCAAUUUCGUGAUAAGACCAAAUGAAAUCAGAGCCAAUUUAAGUAGAAAUUUGACAAGUUAAAAUAGAAGUCAAUAAUCUAGUAAAAGGCAUGCUCAAAUAGUAGUCAAUUUGUUGGAACAAAGAGGCUAAAACGUUAGUCAAAAUGUAGAAAAGAUGAAGCUAAAACAUGAGUCAAUAUGUGAAAAUAUAUGAAUUAUUGUGAACAAAAGAUAAAAGAAAAAUUAUUGACUCAAACUCUACUUUGUAGGAUUAAAUUUUGAAAGGAUUUAUAGGAUUAAAUAUGUUUUUUUAAUAUAGGAUCAGAUAUGUUUUUACUUUUUUAUAAAAUUACGAAUCUUUUCAAUUGUAGUUUUUCUAUUAAUAUUUUUAACCAUUUUUAGUACCUAUAAAAAAAAAAAUGUUGUUUCUAGUUCAUACAAAGAGACAAAAAGUUGUGAAAGGUAGAGAUUGGAAUUGAUGAAAUUUUCAUAGAUGGAGGUUGAAUAGUUUAAUUGAUUUCAUCUAAAAGAUAAAAAAUUAGAUGUUAUGAAUUUCAACCCAAACAAAGGAGAAAAAAGAAAUCUAACAUCUAAUUAUUAACAUUUGUCGUUAAUGAAGGCAAAACAUUUAUAAACUAACUAAAAAUAUGGAUGGUUUAUAAGGAAGAAAAACUUUUUUUUAAGUGAGGGACGAAAAACAUAUUAAACAAAGUUAACCUGAGAUGACAUAGGGGAGAUCAUAAACAAAGUAAAUCACAUUUUCCUUUGAUAUAAAUGCAAAUUUCCCUAAACCCUAAAUACUUACUCUCUCCAGUCAAAUUCAUAAAAAAAAAACUUCUUAGGUUCAUUGAAAUAUAAUGUAUUUAGUCUAUAAUAUAUACUGAAUACAUUGAAUAUUUAAUGAUUCUUAAAUGUAGUUUUUUGCUUAUAAAUAUGAUUGGAUGAAGUACUCCCUCUGUUCCUUAAUGUAGCCAUCCAUUGUCUUUUUCACAUUUCUUAAGAAAAGUUGUCAGUGUAAUUAAUGUGUCUGUUUUGUGUGUUAAUAUUACGAAAUUGUCUUUUAUUUGUAUGUGUAUUAAAUUUGACUUUUCAUAUUUCAAGACAAGAUAGUGAUAUUAAUUAGGGUGUGUUUAGGAAAAUAAUAAUAAUAAAUGCAUCUAGUAAUUUGAAAAGAAAUUUAUAUUUAGGAACAAAAGUAAAAUCAAAUGGGUGUUUACAUAUAGGGUCAGAGGAAGUAUAAAAGAAUAAGAAAGCUAAGCUCAAGCGUUCAAAUGUAAUACCAUCAACAUCCAAUUUAACUUUUAUUAAGUAACCAGCCUAUAUUAAUUUAAAAUGAAAAUUAAAUCUGAGUUAAAUUUCUCUAAAAAUAAAAAGUACAUAUUUUAUUUAAGAAGAAUUAUAAAAAAGAUGAGUGAUAUCUAAACAACCAAAAUCAAACAACUUUAGUGAUAAUCUUUUUUCCUCUCUUCUUAUUGGACAAUAAUAAUAGAGAGAAAAAGAAAGAAAGAGGAUAAAAGUACAAUGAGAGUAUAAGAGAGAAAGUUGUCACAAAAGUUAUUUAAAAGUGAUUGUUCAAAUAUCAUUUCUCUAUAAAAAUAAAAAUAAAACAAAUAUUAAUUUGUGUUCUCAAAAGCACAUGUUAAGGAACUUAUUAUAAAAACAUACGUAUCAAAAGUCGUGUAGUCAACUUCUUAAUAGUUAAAUUAUCAUGUUUUCUAAUUUAAAGUUGCUCAAUUUGGAUUCCUUAACAUGUGCCCUUAUGACACAAGUUAAUAGUCCUUUCUAGAAACUCUAAAAUAUUCACUUUGUCGCAUGCACAUGACCCAAGUAUUGCACAAAUUAAAGUGUUACAAACCUUGCCGGGGCAUAUUACACACUUUCUUGUAUUUUCUAGUUGAAGCUGUUAAUGUUUGAACUUUGAAGUAUGGAAUGAAGUAUGGCUCUAUUCUUUCUACUUCGAUUUCAUCAAAUUUUGCAGACACUUUUGUCGUCCCAUCCACACCCACGUGUUAAUGUUAAGGAUAAAUCACUAGAUAGAUAUGGUCAAUGCCCACAGGAUUUCUUCUUUUGUAAAGUUUAUUUUAGUAAAAUGGAGGAUUUUCUGUUCAUGCCUAAAUGUAGAGUAAGAUUUAUGCAUAAAGGGAGAGUAAAGAUCAUAUGAGAGGGGUGAUGAUGUGAUAUUAGAUUAUUAAAAUAUCGCUGAUAAAUGGAGGUGUAUAUAAAAGGUGUAUAAAAAAGGAUGUUUAUAUAUAAUGACUAUUGUAUGUAAUAUGAGUGAUGUGUUUAGGACGAACAAAGGUUAAACACUCAACCAUAAAAAAUAAAAAAUAAAAAGAAAUGUCAACCAGUAUCAACAAAAGGCUAUCGGUCCAAACACAAAAAUGGUUUCAACUUCCACUCGUAAAGUAGACAGUAGUUCAAAGAAGUCUUACCCAAAAACCGCUUCCAAAAGAAAAAAAUUGAUUACAAAAACGCUUCCAAAAAUGCUUUAAUUGCUCAAUAUUUUUCAACUUGAGAAAAAAAAAUUGAUAUCACUACACCACUUUCAAUUGGACUACCCUACCGAAUGUCUUACCACAACAAAUCCAUUCAUACACCUAGACUCUACCCUCAAAGGUAGGGGUGUAACACUUCGGUUUGGAUUGGUUUUCAGUCAAAAAAAAGUCUGAAUCGAUGAAACCUUCAUCGGUUUGGAUUGGUUCGAUUUUCACUGUUUUUCAAAAAAGAAAUCGAACCAAAUUAAUCGGUUUAGUUCGAAUUGGAUUGGUUCAGUUGAUCGGUUUAAUUAAAAAUACAAUUAAAAAAAAUUCAUAUUCUGACAAAAUAUUUUACAGAACUUUGUAUAAUUUUAUUUCAUAUUUUUUUUUUUUCAUGUUCACUAUUUUUCAAACAACUUUUUAUAACUAACCUUACUCAAUAUUUCAUAUAUAUGAUCCAAGAUUCAUUCAUCCAUCAUUCUUCAAAAACAACUUCAUCAAACUCAAAUAUUUCAAUCAUUCAUGAUCCAUACAUGGAUCAUUGGGAUAGAAAAUGAACAUGGAAAACAAUGAAAUAUAAUGACUACAAAUCAAUGGCAUAAACAUGAUAAAACUAACCAAGAGAUGAACAAUCUCAGCGGUGACCGGUGGCGAUGAACAAUGGGCUUGGUGUGGUUGACGGCUAGGGUUUCUUUUUAAGUAGAAAUGAAAUAGUCUGACUGAUGAGAUGAGAUGAAGAUUAGAGAAAGUGAAUGGAUUAAAAAGUAUUUUAUGUUUAAUUUUGGGUCUAACCAUAAGUUUGUGUGAGGUAUGAUAAUAUUAGUAAAAUAAGGAGUUUGGUUAUCAUCAGAUUGGUUCAUCGGUUUCACGGAUCUCGAAAUAAAAAACCAUGAACCAAACCAAACUAGAUCGGUAUCGAUUGGUUCGGAUCGGUUUCAAACCGAACCAAACAAGGUUGGAUAUUUUUUCGUUUUGGUUCGGUUUGGACUUUCGGUUUCGUUGGUUUUGUCCGAACCACUUACACCCCUACUCAAAGGCCUAAAAAACUGAUCACAAGUAGAGUAGAUCAAGGGGCAUAACUCACUUCCCCCCAACCUUAUCCAAAUCUUAUUACACACAUGAAUGGGAAACUCACAAGUAAUGAAAAGAUGGUGCACCACAAACACACAAGAGGUACCGUUAGGGUCUAAGAACACUUCUUGACGACGAAGACUAUAACUGAUAAAGGCCUUGUCAAGAAGUAACUGUAAAGAGAAGGCAAUUACUUCGUACAAAAAUCAACUCUUCAAGAUUUUAGUUAAACAAUGAAGGCCCGUCACCCACAAACGAAUAGUAAGUGGUAAAUCAAACCGAGUAGCUAUCAGUAUUUGAAGCCUUUAGGGGUAGCACCUAGGUGCAAGAAGGGUCUUGUUAUUGUAUGACAUUCGAUAGUGUAAUUUAUUUAAAAGUCACGUAAUGAUAUAUAUUUUUUUUUUAUAAGAUGAUUGUUGUUGAGCCAUUGGUUGAUAAAAUUAAUUUUUCUCUUGAAAAUUAUUUUUGGUUGAGACUUAAUAGAACUCAUACCUUUUACUCGUGGAAGGUAGAAUCCUCCAUGUUCUUAUCGACUAUUCCGCUUGUAUGCCAUGGUUUGACUUUUAUACAUAUUAAGAAUUCAAUUUGUUCCAUUUGAAUAAAUAAAGCAUUUAAGUUGUGUCUCAAAUAUGAUAAAUUGCGUCGUUUGUAGUGCAUAAAGGGGCAAAUGAAAAUUAGUCUUGAUGUAAC
rnacentral:lncRNA from 1 species